UUGAGUAGAAGGUGUUUGUUGAGUUUCUUUAGAGAGAAAGGGGAGAGGGGAAGUCUGAGGGGUGGAGGGCACCAUCCAACCAAUGACGUCACAGUUGUGUCCAUGGUUGCUUGCCACUAAAUUGCCUGCACGCAGGCCCUAGCGAAUGCCCACACAGUGCUCCUGCCACAUGCUCACUCCGCAUCUGACAAUGCGCUCCACGCCCUAAUAGGCAGCAGUUGUCGUGCUCGCAAACCUCAUGAGCCUGCCAGCAUGCCAUCAAGACUGUCCACGAGUCCACUACAGGCUCUGGCCAAGCAACUGGCUAAGGUGCUUCGGAAUGUCCGACUGUGUCAGCACCCCCAACCUGUCAGUAGUUGUUAGGUGCUGCUGUCACCCCUCCUAAACGCCCAUCUGUGUGCCUGCACACACACUAACUGCCUUGCAUGGGGCGGCCCCACCUGCUUACAUACCCACACCCCGGUCCUUCACUUACAUGGGAUCACUAGCCACACUACCAUGAUGCUCCCCCAUCCAUUGGGCUCGCGCCGCUCUUGCUGCCAUCAACCUUGCACCUAUACGAGGAUCCUCCUGCCCCACCACGACUGACUAGGCCAAGGCCCACAGGUUAGCCAUCUUCCCCCCUAUCAAUCAGUCCUUAUUUCGUGCAGUGCCUUCCCACUCCUACCUCACUACCGACAGGCCUAGCUAGGUGGGACGGGUUGGGCCUCACCUUGGGUGCAAACCUUGACGCACGGGCAUGGAAAACCUGCUGCGUUGGCUGGUGAGCUCAGGUGGCAGAGCCCACGACGACGGUAUUGGGUUUCUCUCGACGGACGUGGACGGGGAAGGUCUCCCUAUACUGGCACCCUUGUGGAUGCCGACAAGCAUCCGUUGGCGUCGUUGCCAUCCGCACCUACUUGCCGUCAUCGAGUCCCUCCCUAUUAAUCAUGUUUAGGACCCCACCCCCAUAGUGACGCAUUCUCCCUCUUCACCAGAGGAUAUGUCAACCUAGUGUUGCAUCACAAGUUCCAAAUAAAAAUGUAGUCUUCUCUUAAUCAUGAGGAAAAUUAAUCUUUCUUAGUGAUGAAUUAAUCUUUCUGCCAUUAAUAUAAAUUCUCUAACUAGUGGUGAGUCUUGUUUAGAAUUUUUCUCUUUUCUCAUUUCUUUUGAUUAUUAGAAGUAGGAUAAAUAAUAUAAUUUAAUUAGUUCUUUAUUUACUACUUUCAUAUUUAGAUUCAACCUAUGUUUCAUCUCUUUAGAGGGUUGAGCAUUUUCAUCAAUAUAUAUGUGAUGCAUUAGAUGACAAAGAUAAUGCCAUGUGACCUACCACUUAAGUGAAUUAUUUUAUCACUCAUCUUAAUAAAAUAAAAUAAAAAAUAAAAAGAAAAAAUAAAGAUAAUUUGAAGUCCAAUAAAACAAAGAGUAAGACAAUUAUGGUGUGAGAUGUUAUUCUACAUUGUUGAGAAAUGUCAAUGGGAAAAUUUUAAUAUCUAUUAUCUUUGUUAUUUAGAAAAGGAAAAAUGAGAAAAAAAGAAAAAAAGGAUGUAGUGUAUAUUUCAAUGCAUGAGACGUAUAGAAAAAGGCAACAUAGGAUCAAUACUACCCUCAUUUGAGAUUAUGAUUUGGACAUCUAGUGACUUAAAUCUAUAAGUAAUAGAAUGAUAAAUCUAUUUAUAGAGAAGUGAAGUCUAGAUCGUUAUCUUGAGGAGUGUUUAAAAAUCAUUAAAAUUUCUUAGGAUUAUUUUCUUUAACUUUGUAUGAAAGUCUGAUGUGUCUAUUAGUUUACUAUUCAAAAAAUUUGAUUUUUUUGCAUGAAAAUAUGCUAUUUUGAAACAUGUUUGUCUUUAAUUCAUUUACUUCAUUAUUAAGGACUUGAAAUAUUCAAGUUAGUGGGUAUGAUAAUAUCUUAGUUUAAAUGUAAUGAGAGCUAAACUAACAAAAAUUACAUUAAUUUUGGUAAAAAUUAAAUGUUGAGUAAAAUGUUUUUAAGUGUUUUCUUAUUUUUCGUGAAUUUUAUUUAAUUUUGAGUAGUUAUUUUAUAUUAAAAUAUGUUGGCUAUUAUUUUAUGAAGUAAAUAAAUCAAUAAAUUAAAAAAACUUUUUAAGGGCACUCUACGCUUAGCAAGCUAGAUGUGGGCUAGUACCUCAUCACAUCUAAUAAUGAGACUAGUGGACUCACCACUAAGAAGCCCAAGUCAAUGAGGACAAAAGUCUAUGUCAUCAAGUUGUGGAAGAAUCAAGGUUACUGGGCUAAGAGGUAAUAUCUCAAUUUGGUUCAACCCCUUAAGAACUGGUAAUGAAAUAAAAUAACCUUUUAGGGCAUGAAUAGUUAAUAGAAGCAAUGAUUUCCUACAUAAUAUCAUGAAAGAUUUACUAAAAUAACUAACGUAGGACUAAAUUCGUUUCAUGUGUUUUGUAGGAGAAUCUUGAUCAUUGGAUUCUUGUGUUUUCUAAUCCGAUGUUGCUAAACACACACAUCCUCGUUUUGAUGGUGGAUCAACAAUGAUUUGAAUCUUGGAUUGCAUAAAAAUUUAACAGAACUUUUGUAAAAGUUCCACAUACCUCAACACCAAUAAUAAAUUUGAUGGCAGACAAUGCUUCGAUCCAAUGACAUACAAAGUGCCACAUACCCUAGGCUUAAGUUACCAAUGAGACAACAUGUAGUGGUAUUGGAUGUUAGAGACAACACCAUGUCCAGCCACUUAAGUGAUGUCAAUUCUCUCUCUAGGACAUAGUGACAAUAAUAGAAUAUUGUCUAUAAUUGACAGAUAAAACAUACAUUAUCAUUUAUCAUAAUAAAAAUAAAAGAUGCAAAGAGUCUAUUGGAAGUGACAUUCUAUCUUCUCUCCCUCCACAUAGUCAGAGCCUUUGGUUUCUUACUUGUAAAUGUGCCAAUGUGAGACCACCACAAGGCCUAUUUGACACUCUGAGUGAUUUCGGGUCAACCCUUGGGAGCUGGUGAUAAAAUCUUGUCAAUCUAUUUAGGAGAUGGUAUCUUAUGAGAGAGGAAAUUCACAAGGAGUAUACACAACCUUUUUGUGAAAUUGUUGAUGUGGGACUAAAGUUUUCAUUUCUUUAGGUUUUGCAAGCUGGUGGAUUGAAUCUUGCAAUGCACAACAUUUCUUUGGAUUUUUCAGAAACAUCAGAUCGCCACUAUGAUGACAUAGAAAUCCCAACAUCAUCCACACUCAAGUAGAGAAUUGGUAAAGAAACUUAAGUGACGUUGCCACUAUCUUUGUGACAUACACAUAAUAAUUGAUUAUUGUCUAGUAAAGUAUACAUUAUCAAUUAUCACCAGCAAAAAAAGAAAUCUCAAGAUAUUGUCGAUGGAUUGGUGAGCUCAUGCCUUCCUCACUCUAGUACACUUAGAGCCUCUAGCGAGUAGCUAACUCUCUUCCUCCCUAGCCGACGGUGACAAUGGCUUCACAUCCUUCUUUUGCUAGAUCCUUUCAUUGAUUGGGAUGACACCAUCAGAUAAUACUUCUACAAUUCUAAGCAUUCUUUCUAUAUGAUAAAUGAGCAACCUUUUCAGCUGAAAUAUUUUGUAACUCAUCUUGGAACAUCUAUAAAGAGUUUUCAGUUUUUUUCAUUAAUCUCCAUUGAUAAAUAAAACUUAAACUUCCUUCAAUUUUUCUACAAACAUGAACAAAAUAACUAUGAUAUUUUCUAGAUUUUCAUGAACGACAGCUAGUUUUAUAUUUAAUUUUCAAUGAUUAAUAGUUAUUAAUCGGCAAAAAUGAAAUUAUGUAACAUAAUAAAAUGUUGCAUAAAUUUCACAGAAAUAAGUUAUAAUUGUUGAAUAAAAUAUUUCUUAAUGUUUUGAAAUGUCUUUUAUUUUCUAUUAUAAAUAAAUAAACACAUAUAAAUAAAUAAAUAAAUAAAAUAAAAUAAAAUAAAAUAAAAAUUUGGUUUUAUGGAUGUAAUACCUUUUAGGCUGAUAUGGGCCUAGUGGGCUCACUACAUCCUUUAGCAACCUGAAUGGGCUCAUCAUUGUGUGGCUUGGGAUAGUGAGGACUGAAGUAUAUAAACACUAGGCCAUGUAAAAUCUUGACUUUGAGCUAGUGGGCAAACUAUUCCAAGGCCUAUUGGGCACUUGAGCAUCAAUUUGGCUCAAUAUCUUAGGAGUUUGUGAUGAAAUCUGGUCAAGUCAUUAAGGAAUAACUAUCUGACAGUCAUAAGGGUUAAUUACUUAUUUUGUGAUAAAUCUACAAAAAUAAUCAAUGUGGGACUAAACUUUGUCUCUUCUUUUAUAAAUUUCAUUAGAGUAGUUGCACCAUGUCACUUGAUUUCAUGCCCCAAAAUGUGCUACAACAUCCGAUUUCAAGCAGCCAAUCAUUAUGAUUUUUCAAUGUCAGAUCAUCACAUCACUUUAAUCAAACAAUGCAUGGAGCAUCACGACAUCCCAUCUUUUUGAAAAUAUGGUGAAGGUUUACAUCUCGUAAAUGCAUGACCAAAUGGUGCAUAGAGUGCCAUGUACCCAUAUGCAUAACUGAUAAUUAAACAACAUAUUAUAGAUCGGUUAAAUGGUAGAUGAAGUGCCACAUGACCAGCCACUUAAGCUAUGUCGUAACUCUCUUUAGGGCAUAUAUGUAAUAAUUGAUAAAGUAUAUUUUACUAGAUAUUAAUUAAUUAUCAUAGACAAAAGAUGAAAUCUGAUGAGAGGUCUUGCCAAACAGUAUUUUGUCUUCUCCCCCUUCACUCGUUCAAACCCUCCAGCAACCAACAAACCCUAUUCUUGCCUCCCUUUGCUGCACACAAAGCCUUUGGUGAGUCGUCACAUAUCUUCCUUCUCCCCUAGAUGGUGGUCACAAGGGCAUCAACCGUUUCUUCUAGGGAAUAUUUCGGCAGGUGGUGGAGCAUCUCUUGCCGUCACAUGACCUUUACACCUUUUGAUAUGGUGUGCCAUGAUCAAAUGAUACAAAGCCGUUGCACCAACAUCUUUUAUUGUUGUAGAAGUAGACUCAUUAGAGGGCAGCCUUCAUUUUCUUCUUUCUUUAGUUUAUGAUUGCUCUUUCUUAUAAACGAUAAUUUUUGGACGUUUGCUAGAAGUCAUUGAUAGAAUUUGAUGAAGAUAAAAGGAUUUAUUUUAUGUCUCAAAUCUUCUCAACUUGUUGUGCAUCAUCCAAAGAGUGUUUUCAAAUCAUUUUCCAUUGAUUUUCAUUGAGAAAUUUAACUCAAAAUUCUUGCCAUUUUUUUGAUAGGUGAAAGUGGAAGUCAUAGGAUAUUUUCCUAAUUUUUAAGUGAUUUGAUUAGUUUCUAGUAUGAUUUUAAUCUUUUAAUCUAAUUAUUGUUGAUACCCUUAGGCAUAUGUUUUGAUAUUACAAUUAAUGAGAAAAUAUAUAAUUGAUAUUUGAUAUUAUCCACAAGAUUAUUAUAAAUGGCUAAUAUAUUUCAUGCAAUAAAGUCUAUUAUUUAUCUUGGGAUAUUAUGCUUGACCCAUUAAUCCAAGGGAUUAAACCUUGAGAUUAAUUAAUUUGAUGAAUUGGUGAAGUGUAACAUUUAUGAGAAUAAAUAUUUGUUAGAAAACAAAUAUUUAAAUAGGCAAAUGAGAUGGUAACUGAUUGUUAUCUUUUUAAUUAAUUUAUCUAUGAUUAUUUGAUCAUUUAAGUGCAUCUAUUUAUUUAUUAUUCACAUGUAUCAUUGAAAGAAAAUGAAAAUAGUUCAAAAUAUUAAAUGAGCUCUCAUGAGUCUCAAACUGAAAGUCUAGAUAGUGACACAUCGACUGCUUAUGUAGAGAAAAUGGCUAGCUCAACAUUUGAAUCAAAAGAUGGUAUCAACAUGAAAGUUGUUUGUAUAUGAUAGAAAAAUCUCCAAUUCAAAUUUCAAAUCAAAUGAACUAGGAAAUAACAAGUUAUUAAAUUUAUAAUGGUCAGAGGUCGUUAUCGUGCAUUUUGGAAAAUGAUAAGUUUUUGAAUUGACUUUCUGAUUUUAUCUCUUGAGCAAAACACAAAAAUUUAUCAGAGGAUAAUGCCUAAAAGGAAUUUAGGGAGAUAAAUAAAAAUGAUUUCACUUCAAUCUAUCAUGAAGAUUCUCUCUCACAAUCAAUAAAUAUCACUAUCGAGCUUCAAAUGUGCAUAUAGUGCAUCAUCCUUUUUUAUCAUCAAGUGGUGAUCAACGAAACACUUUAAUCUUCCAAGGAGGCUCUCCAUCAGGCUCUAAGGUAACUAGGCAGUGAGGGGAGAAUGGUUUUGGGCAAAGACAUGAGGUGCUCUAAGCCCUGAUUGACUUAGAAGGGGUUGGAUCUUUGUAAAGAUCGAACCUGAGAUAUUAGGCCGUUAAUCCUAUGAAUUAGUAUAUAUUUUCGAGGGAAAUAGUGAAAACUAGUAGGAAUGAUCCUCUAGGACUGAAAGUAGCCAAGUGAAGGGUGAACCAUUAUAAAAAAUUUAUAUUUUAUCAGUGAGUGAGAAAGAUUCAUGAGAUAACUUGUUGGAGGAGAGAGAAAACAAGUCUAUAUGUAGAUAAUCACAAAGAAUAAUGUUAGCAAGUGUUGACAUAUGUCAUUUAGAAAGAAAAAAUAAGAUUAUUGAAACACUAACUCUAACCCUCCUCUUGGUAUUCCACCUAGUCCUUAGAUAUUUCAAUUAAAUGAUAUGAGAUUGAAUCAAUUAGUUGUAGGUGUUAUUUUACAUCUUUUUCAUGAGUUCUCUCUUGUAUAUUCAUUAAGAAAUCAUGGUCAAUGUGACUCUCUCUAUCAUGAGCAUGUAUUGACCAUGAUUUCCUCUCUUAAUUAUCUUCUAUUUUCCCUCUUUCUCUCCCUCUCUUAUUCUCUCCUAUUUUCUCUCUCUUCUUUCUCUCUAAUUCCAUUCAAAAUCCCACAUCUAUCUUUCUCUUGUUUUUUCUAUUUAUCUAGAAAUUUAUAAAAAGUUUCUAAAAUUAAUAAAGCUUAGAAUUACUUAAAACUACAAUCAAAUUGAUCUUCAUGCUAGAUUAUUAUUCUUCUUGUGUUUGACUUGUGACUCACAUUUAUACUAAUUAUUAACUAAGUUUCAAUUAUAAAUAACUAUUAGAUUUUGGGUACUUAACACCAAUGACAAAUAUCCAUUAGAAAGAUGUUAAUGUAUUUUUAUGCAUGAUCUCACACCUUUUAGAUGUUUUUUUCCUACAUAUUCAUCUCAAGAUCGUGGUUGAUGUGAUUUUCAUGUGUGAACACAAUCAUUGUGAAAUACAUUGUCCCUUGUUUUGUUCUCUUUCAUUUUUGUCUAAAUUCCUCUCUUCUUCCACCUAGUAUUCCCUUCAAAAUUUUGGCUCUUUCUCUUUCUCCUCCUCUUUUCUUAUUCCCUUCAAAACCCCAUUUCUAUCUCCCUAUUAUUCCUUUGGAUUAUUCUCUCUUUCUCUCUUGUUUCUCCCUCCUAUUCCCAUCAAAAUCCUUUUCUCUCCUUAUAUUAUUCUUAUCCAAAUUUUAUUCGUCAUAUUCUCUUUUCUUUUUAUAAAUAAUAUAAAAUUUAAUUUAUUAUAUUUCUUAUAUUCAGUUUAUUCAAUAUUUUAAAUUUAAUUACAACUAUUACAAACUUUCUUAAGAUUAAAAUAUAAAAAUAUCAUGACAAAUUAUUCCUUCUCCUUGUAUUCAUAAUGAAACUCACAUUUAUAUUAAAACUUAUUUCAAAUUUCAAUUAUAAAUCUUAUUAGAUAGUAGGUAUUUAACAUCAAUGGCAUUUACCCAUCAAGUAUUGAUUAUUGUAAAUGUAUGACAUGAAAGAAUGUCUGGAUGAUGGUUCUAUCAUUAUACAAGAAAUGGAAAAAGGAAAAUAGGGGUGGAAAUAUGUUCUUUUCAAGAGGAUCUCUUGACAUAUCUUAGUGUGGACUUGUUUUGUGCCAUGAGUUCCUUUGAGAUCUAUAUUUAUAGCCCUCAAUUAGUCACAUAUGAGACUUCUAGUCUAUAGAAGUCUCCUGAAGCUUCUCACAUGUGCUGCACAUGUGCCUUCAUCUUCUGCCAUAUACACUUUAUUAAUGGGGUAUAACACAAGGCUUGAUACUAUUAGAAUUAUUCUUAUAUUUGUUUGUGCAGGUAAUUUUAAACUCUACCAAAUGCAUGUUAAAAGCAAAUUGUCAAAUGAAGUCAUUAUAGAAGAAGCAUAUUGGGAAUAGCUUUCUUGUUUUGAAAACUCAGAUUAUCUUGAUCAUAUUUUUGGAUUAAAGAAAGCCUUGUAUAGAUUGAUAUGAAAAGUUAGUUCUUUUUAGUUCUAAUAUAAUUUGAAUAAAAGAUAAUGAAGAUAAAUUUAUGAAUAAAAUAUAAUAAAAAUGAUACUUUGAUUUUUUAAAUAUGUAUUAAUGAUAUUUAUUUGGAAUAAGUGAUAAAGCUUUAUGCAAUAAAUUCUUCUCCUUGAAGAUGUUUUUUUAAUAUGAGUAUGAGGGGAGACUAGUAAGCUUAUCAUACAUCCAUUAGCUUUACUUCCUCUAUCACUUCAUGUGCUCUUGCCUUCAUUUAUUUUCUUUUUUAUUGAAAAAUUCAAUAAAAACAUUGAUCACUUGGGUUAUUUGAAGAAGGUUUCAGAAAAUUCAUAUUUUCUAUAUAAAUGAAUUUUCUUAUGAUUUAUUUAUCAAAAUUUUAACCUUAUGAAAUUUUUUUUGUCUUUUUGUUCCUACAAAAAUGGGGUGAAAUAUUUUGAUUAGAAAAGUGAUUGAGGGCACAAAUUUAUAUGUAGCACUCAGUAAGGGAGAUAGAAUGAUUUUUAAAAUAUUGAAUGCUGACUAUGAAGUGAUGAAAAUUUAAACAUGUUAAUAUCUGAAUAAAUCAUUUACAACUUGUUCAUAGCUUCAUGAAUAUUUGAGCCUCAUAGUGCUAUAUCAUUAUUGCAUCUUGAAUAAAUUUUUUGAAUGAUUUUAUAAGUAUCAAAAGGCAAAGAUUGUUGAUGCCAUUGAUUUUUGUGUAUUUCAGCUAAAAUUAUUUAAUUAAAUGAUUAUUAAAUAUUGAUGAUCACUUAUAUAUACAUUUUUUCAUGACUUGAUUUCAAAUAUUCUAUACAUUAAGUAUGAUUAUUUUAUUAAUACUAUUUAUUGGUUCUAUGGUCAUAUCAUUAAUCAUAAAAUUUAAGUUAUUAAUCCAUAAUAUUAUGUGUUUCAUCAUAAAUGUUCAACAAAGAAUUUUAGGUGAAUAAUCAUCAUCUAAGAAAAGGAUUAGUAUUAUGCAGUACUUGGUAUUUUGAAAUGAAGAUAGACAGGUUUGUUAAAAUGUCGUGGAUUAAAUCAUCAAAAAAGUGAGAAAAUAAAAGAGAUUUAAGUUUUGAACAAAACAUAUUGGUGAUGUCAUGUCAGUUGUUUACAUGAACAAAUGGUCAUAACAGACUUGAUGAUUUGAUCUAUCCUUGACAUCUAACUAUUCUCAUCAACUUACAGAACUUUGGUUCAAAUUCAACCAAAGCAAGAUGAAGGAAUAAGGAGGCUGAAGAUUGAAAGGUUCAAAUGUCAUUACCACAUGUUUUGAAAAGCAACAAGCUUUUGAACAACAUUUUAGAUAUGGUAAAAUUAGAAAUUACUUUAAAUAAGGCAAACUUUGGAGAGAAUAUGUUUGGAACAAAAACUAUCAAAUAAUAAGAAAAUAUAUUAUUAAUAUUUGAUUAUAUAAAUAAGAUUAUUAUAAAUGCUUUAUACAUUUUAUGAAUUAAAACCCCUUUUUUUAUCUCAUGAGAUUAUUCCUAACCUAUUAAUAUGAGGGAUUAAAUCUUGAGAUUAAUUGAUUUGAUAAAAUAGGCAAAUCAUCAGAUUUAUAAAAAUAAAUAUUUUUUCAAAAAUAAAUAUUUAAAAGGUAAAUGAUAUAAUAAAUGAUGGUUAUCAUUUUAAUAUAUUUAUCUAUGAUGUGACCCUAAGUUGUUAUUAGAAUCGUCAUUCAAUUUUAAUAAUUUAUAGAACUAGGUUCACCAAAAAUAAUAUUAAAUGAAUAUAGUGGUGAGCUAGGUUGUCUCCUCAAGAAAAGCUUUUGAGAAAUCUUCUUAUUUUCUUAUUUAAUGGAUUAUGAAUUUGAUAUUCAAAGUAAUGAAGGAAAUAAAAUGGUAAAUAAAUAUAAAUACGAAUUUAAAAUUCUACUAAAAUGAAAUAUACUUUAGAAUGAUGAAAAUAGAAAAGAAACAAGUAAAUAAAUAAGUAAAGCUAAGAAAAUAAAUUUAUUUCGUAGAUCAAACAAGUAAAUAAUGAAAACUUUAUUAAAAAUCAAACUUACAACCCUUAGAAUGCAUGGCUUGAUGUCAACCUCUGGGUAGCACUUCCUAAUCUUACAUCCAGUACAACAAAAUGAAUUUAAAGUGAGAAGGGUAGAGGAGAACAAUCAAAAAUUAAUGGUGCAUUCUUUGGAACUCUAUUUUUACAUGAAAAAGAAGAACAAUCAUUUCCUCUCAAGAACAACUUAAGAACAACUCAAAGACAACUCAAAAAGCAUCCCUUUCUCUCUCCUCUUCCUCCUCUUGCCCUCCCCCAGAUCCACAAAUCACAUUUUUCGUUUUACCUUCAUAUUUUUCUGCUGUAAUUUUCUCAUUUUUCUCUGAUUUUCUAGCAUUUUCCCCUUUUCUCGCAUGGCAAUAAUCGAUAUUGUCUAUUUUACUAGAUGAUAAUUGAUAUUUGCAAAUUUACCCUUAUGCUGCGCGAGAGAAUAAUCGAUAUUGUCUAUUUUACUAGACAAUAGCUGAUAUUUGUUAACAUGUCCUCCACUACAUGGCUCAAUGAAGACUAUUAGAUUCUUGUGCCGUCAUUUUCCUUUGAAGGGGAUGACAUGGCCUCUUAAUUGCCAUCAGAUUUAUUUGAGCUCUCACUACUUUUUCACAUGCUUUAUUGGGAUUUGUGUGGGCACCCGAUCACGUGUUGGUGGAUAGGGACUUAGCCGCUUUUGGUGCAUUGGAUUUGAUGGCGGCUGCCGUUAGAUCUAGCACUGCUUUUUGUGCGAUGGUGGGUAGUGAUGUGGUGGCUUCAGGAUCAUUAGAUCUUUGCCACAGCUAUUGCUCUACCGUUGAAUUUGAAAAUGGAAAGAAGAGCCGUUUAGUUCCAUAUCAGAAGUAUCAAAAAUAUAGAGUUCUACAUAUUUAUCAAUGUCCCUCACUAACUUCAUGUACCUCCUAAAGGGAUGAUUGGACUUGACUACCGGCUCCUAGGAAUGAUUUGGAUUGAGACUUAGAUCCUAGUAGGCCUUGGAGGUGAUCUAUUCGGCUCGAACCCAUGAUUCAGAUCCGCGACUCGGUUUACACAGGUUGUAAGGUGAUGUGCUCCUUGGGUUUGCUCCCAAACAUGGCGUGGCCUCGGCCCGCAUCAAGUCUGUUAGGCGGUGUGCCCCUUGGGCCCGCUACUAGAUGCAGUGGCUUCUGGUUCCAUGAGGUGCGUUAGGCAGUGUACCUCUAGCCCACUAAUGGUGCGCCAUUUUAUCUAUUUAUAUUUUAAAUUGAUAUUUAUUUUAAUGCCUAAAAAUUCAGGAAAAUUGCAUAAAAUGUAUUUUAUUUAAUCAUAAAAAUUUAGCACAACAUAAUUUCAUUUAAAAAUAAACUAAAUAAAAAUUAAGCUUCAACAUAUGAAAUAAAUUUUCAUCAAUUUUCGUUUUAUUCAUAAAAUAUCAAUUUAAAUCAAGAUUUAAGGAGGUUUAUCAAAUGACAAGUAAAAUAAUUAAGAUGAUAACUUGUGAAAUAAUUCUCAAAUAUGCAUUAUUCUCUCUAUUUUAGUAACACAUUAACAUGUAAUUUUCACAAGUUAUCAAUCUAUAAUCGUUUGAUCUUUAAGUACAAUCAUUUAUGCAUUAGUCACAUAUAUUAUGAAAAGAGAAUAAAAAGGGUUUGAAAUAUUUAAUGGGCUUUUGUAAGUUUUGAAUAAAAAAUUGAGAUGAUGACACAUUAGCUGUUUAUCUUAAGAAAAUGGCCAGCUCAAUAUUUAAAUAUAAAGAUAAUAUUAAUAGAAAAUUUGUUCAUCCAUGAGAAAUGAAUAUCCAGUUUAAAUUUCAAAUCAAAUGGACCAAGGAAGAAAAAAUUACUAAAUUUGCAAUAAUAAUAUGUAGUUAUUACACAUUCUAGAAAAUGAUAUGUAUUUGACUACCUUCUGAGUUUAUAUGUUGAGAAAAAUAUAGAAAACCAUUGGAGGAUAAAGCAUUAUAAGUAAAAGUUGAGAAUCUAAAAGUAACCAUUCUAUUUUGAGCUAUUAGAAGAGUCAUCUACAUGAUGAAGUAACUUCACCUCAGAGCUUCAAAUGUGUGCAUACUACUUUAUCCAUCUUCAUCAACUAUUGGUGAUCAAUGAAAUGAUCAAAUCUCUCAAGCAAGCCUUUCAUUAGGCUGUAAGGUAAUUAUGUUAUGAGGGGAGAGGAUUUAUGAGCAAAGGCAUGUGGUGCUCUAUGCCCAAAUUGACUCAGAAGGGGUUGAAUUUCUAUGGAGAUAAAACUUGAGUUAUUGGGCCGCUGAUCUUGAAAUAACAUUUACCAUGUAUUUUUAAAGAAAAUAAUGAAAUUUAGUGGGAAGUAUCCUUUGGGAUUGAAAGUAACUAGGUGAGGGGUGAACUAGUAGAAAAAGAUUUAGUCUUAUUUGUGAGUGAGGAAAAAUUAUGAGGAAGCUUACCGAAGGAGAGAGAAAGAAAGCACACACGUAGAUAAUCAUGAAGAAUAGUGUAAGCAUGUGUGUCGACACCUCUAUGAUUUAGAAAGAAAAUUUAAGAUUAUAAAAAUACCAAUUCACUCUACCUCUUGGUAUUUUCCCAAGCCCCUUAUAUUUUUCAGAUUUAAGUAAAAUAUCAAGCUCUUCUAACUAUAUGCAUCAAUGAUGCAUGAGAAAAUAUAUCAUUUUUUUUCGGUUUAUUUUUUGAAAUGAUUCACUCUAUUAUCACAAUUGUAAUAUUCAUUAGACUCUUAGAUAAUUGGGUGUGAUGAGGGACUGAUUUGGGCAAAGGCAUGAUAUGUUGGUAGCCAUAGUUGACUUGAGAAAAGUUGAAUACUUGAAGAGAUUAAUUUGCAGUGUUUCAAUGGUAGAUUCCAUGAAAAUUAGUGUGUAUUUAAAAGAAUUAGUAAAUAUUGGAGGAAAGUUCUCAUUGGAUUUCGACAUAGUUGGGAGAGGGCUGAACUACUGUAAAAAACCUAGUGUUCUUAAUGGAAGAGAGUUGAGAGCAUGUGUGCAUUGAUAGAUCUAAUAAUACUUAUGGAUAACUACAGGUAAAAUUAAAAAAAUACUAUAAAUCAUAGAAACCUCAUUUACUCUUCUUGGUAUUUCACCAAGCCUUAUCGUUUUGAGACCAACUAUUUCCAACUUUAAUACUUUGUAUAGUUUUGUGCUAACAUAUUGUAAUCUUCUGAUCUAUAAGUUUGUUUUAUUUUCAUUUGUUAGAAAUUGGAUGUUGUAUCCAUUAUAUUCAAUCAUAUUCGUUAUAUGUACUAUUGAAUUUAUAAUUGAUAUUUUUAAUACUUUAUUAUAUGGAAUUUUAGAAAUUAUGUAAUAAUUCAUUUUAUAUUUGAGUUUUAUACAAUAAUCAUAUAAUUGCCACUUUAACCAAUGGAUGAGCAUGAAUUUCAAGGCUGCAAUAUUAUAACAUUCUUGCUUUCAGUAUUUAUGAUCAUGAGAAACCAUCAUUUAUUUGAGCCAUCUAAAUGAUUCAUGCAGUUCAUCUCCCACUUGUUAUUUUCUUCAAUCGUCUCUAACCUAUUGUAAGUUCGCAUGUCAUGGUACUAAGUAAGAAACCUGGGUAACAAGGAUUUUGGAUUACGUCAAGAUUGCUUGUAAGACCUCAACGGAGUUAGUAGUGUGUGAAAAAGCUUUGUGGGUCCAUUUCAAUGUCAAGAACCAUUGGAAUACUUUGGAUUGAGAGUUUUGAUCUAUGUCACUUCUAGAGGUUGAAUAUAUGACUGCAUUGAAACCUUGAACAUCCAAUAUUUGAAGGCCUAUUAGAAUGUUACAUCUCUAGAUAUCAGUUACAAAAUUUCUCCUGCCAAAAAAUGUAAAUGUAAUUUCCUUUGUUUCAUUUCUUGCUACAAUUUGUGUCAGAAUAGCUACUGAAACUUUUAGUUCUUAACGCUAUUAACUGUUGACCUUUGAAGUUGACAUUUAAUUUGAGGGAUCGACUCCCACAGCUUUAAGGUUCCCACAUGCCAAUAUGCCUUAUUCAGUAACGAGCUACAGAGUUUGGCCUUCGAAGGCUUUGAGUGUUUUUCUUCUAUGUACUCACAUGUAGCAUACCGCUGCACUCAUAUCAAGGAUUGUUUUCAACCAUAAUAGCCAAUGAUAUAGAUAAAUUCUAAUUGCAUAAUUUGAAUUAUAAACUUGUUGACUUAAAUAUGGAUAAAUAUAUUUCCAAACUAAAUUGAAUUCUUGAUCUGCUCCGCAAACACAAAUUGAGCAAUAAAGUUGAAGUAUUCUUUUCUCCUUGUAGCUGGGUCUCCUUUCUCAGUGAAAUAUUCUCCUCAGUAUAGAUACUCAGCACGCAAGGACGCCCUAACGUUCUAUUUCGACACCCUAACGUUCUACUUUUAUGACAGUAUCGUCUUCUUUUUGUGAUGCACUUUGUUGGGUAUGAGUUCACGAAGACGACAAUCCGGUAUACAAAGGUAGGGCACGAUAGCGAAAACAGCAUGGUUCUUGAUCAAUUUCAGAUAUUUUUAUUGACCAUGUACGUUCAAAAAUACUCAAUAAAUCCUUUCGAUUAAUUGAAAAUCGCACACAUUGGAGUUUUAUUAGCAUGGAUGCUUCUGCAUAAAAUACCUAAAACCUAGCCAGUGCAGAGGUUUCAGACAUUUGAAUAGAUAGUGAAAAGGGAUCGCGACAGAGGUAUACUUCGCAGGAGGAUACACGCAAUAGCUAAGCAACGUCUGAUUCUCAUCUCAAAUUACAGUAACCAAGAAAGAAAAGGAAAACAGAUAGGUUUCCACCUCACAGGUAGAGGUAGAUUGAAGUGUCCAAGAAGACAUGGGGACAUACAAACAGCAGUAAACCCCUAGAGAAAGCAACUAGGGAAACAUGUUUCUAUGCGAAAUGUACCCAUUGGGGACAACAUGCCAACUGUUUUUCAUUAUCCCCUUAUUAUUUAUUUAUUUAGUUAUAAAGGUUUUCCCGGACUCUUCCAACGACAACUACCGUCCGAUGAUGUUCAGCAAUCAAGGACCAGUGUCAGUUUGCUUGAUGCUCUGGUAGGGGAAGCCGUUCGUACAUUCCACGCUGCUCCUGAGAACGGCGUCUGGGUUUCCAUUGCAUGCACCGUUACCCCUGUAGAGGUAGGCGGGCCAGCCAUCGUUGUAGUAGAAACGGUAGCUUCCGGUGUAGGUGACGCUGCAGCACUGGCGAUCCCAGCAAGGCAUCCACCGCCCGGUGCACCCGGGGCCUUCGUACAUAUUUAGCUGGCUGGCGUUAGCCACGGAAGGGAAGAGGACGAGUAACAUCGUCACAGCGGCCGCGGUGGCGACGAGGAGCUUGUGGGAUGGGGCCAUUUGGUACCAGGAGGAAUGGACUCGAUAUCACCGACGAGGGAGAGAGGAGACUCUCUUAGUGUUCUGGAGGAUGGGUUACGGUUCGUGGCAAUUUAUAGACCCUUUCCUGUAGUAUUCUUAUGCACCUGAUUUCCGGUGUAAGUGGGGCUUCAGUAUUUUAGUGAGCCAUUGUCCGAGUUCGCUGGUCAUCCUUCACGUGAAAACAGGAUUCGGGAUUCGCCUUGAAUGGUUGCAUUCGCUUUGAAGAACGCCUCGUUGAAUUGGCGCUCUUUGACCUUCUUACUGGCGACGUGGAUGUGACGGUUGUCCUUGUUGCCUUUCUCAUUUCGUUUCACACGAAGAUAUUCAUAGAUAUCCUUACCGUAGGAGUUUUAAGAAAUAAACCGGACUUUGAAAUAAUGGCUACUGACGGCAAGGAGGUGUCCAGGAAAAUAUUUGGCCGAGUUAUUAUCCAAAGCCAAACAACUCCUAGAUACGCGCAAUUUCGCUGAGUGAUGGCGCAGCAAAAAGUGGAUUUUUAAAACUUAAAUCGGAUGUCCCUCGGGCUCUUCAACGUAGUUCCGAAAUUAAGGUCGUAGAAAGGAGUCCAACAUCCGUUAUAGAUAUUUUGUAACGCAGGUUAAUCUACGCAUACGGUUCUUAAUCACCUUCAACCUUAUAUAAUUCUCUUUCUAAUCUUACCUUUACUCCCCACUUUAAUAUGAUAAUGCGUUUCAACUGAGUUGAAAUGGACGGGAGAUAGAGAGAGAGAGAGAGAGAGAGAGAGAGAGAGAGAGAGAGAGAGAGAGAGAGAGAGAGAGAGAGAGAGGCGCGCUUUACAUCUGAUUUUACUUAAUAUUUACAUAAAAUUUGUACUUUAAAAAAAAUUACUUUUUCUAUUUACCAAUGUGAUGCAAGUACACAAAAAACCGAACUUUUAUUAGGGCACAUAAAUUACCUUUCUAAAGUUCAAGAAAACAGAUCACACAGCCGUACAAGUCUUGGUUGAUGACAUGAUUUCCCGAGUACUAGAAGAUAACGGAAAAGGUUUCAAAAUCUAAACGAGUGAUCAAGUGAAAGAGGAAAGACAAAGUGCUCAAACAAAUCCGUAGGAAUGUUGGAACACACGCAACUUUCGGAGUCAUAGCUUCCACAUAUUGCAUAUCUCACUUAAUGGAAUGGUUUGAAGGUUCCCUUCUUCCGUGAUUCUAUUUGUAAAUCUUUUGUCGCAGCGCAGCAAGAGGGAUUUGAUAGGUAAACCCAAAUGAAAACGAAUGCUGCUUGGAGCCGAAAAGGCUAUAACUUUGAUUAUUAUCAGGAAUAAAAAAAAAUUGGUUUUAGCGUAGGUUUCCUGUUCUUCGACCUUUUUCAAGAUCAGGCUCUUCUCCUGAAAAGGACAGCGGUGGGAUGUCCACGUCGAGUUACAAGUCUUUUGGGCGGCGCCGACUUCGGUGAAUGCGUUGGAUUUGGAUUGUGAAGAGCUCUUCUCGACGUUGAAACCUACGCUCAAGCCCCUCCCGCGGUAUGGAGAAUUUACAUUUGACCACCUGAGCGUCAAGCCAUAAUACUCGGAUCAAUGGGGUCCAAAAAGGAGACAACACGUCGUCCGAUUCUUGUUCAUAUGUUUCAUUAUAAUGCUGGACGAUGUGGAAGAAUCGGACUUAUCUUUAAACCUGACUUACGUUUACGCCCACACACGGAAACAGACCUGUUUACACAGAACGAAUGUGCGGAGAACCUUUCGGUUGUUCGCCGGCGGUGUCUGAUUUUUAUAGGCAUGUGAAGAGAAGUUGAAAAAGUCUGAUUCAGACUCAGAACUUGCUUUGAAAUCGUUAUGCUCUUGAACGAAAUCGAUCAUUGAUCUAAAAUAAUACUGAUAAUACACUUCAAAGAGAAAGAGAGAGGGAAGGGGGAGAGAGAGAGAGAGAAAAGCAGCAGAGGAUUAAUCUUUUAACAAUACCGCACAUUCAUAUCUCCGUUUCUAUCAGUGGUCACUCUUCCGACUACUAGGUCAUCGUGGGAUAUAAAUUUUUACACACUUCUCACAGUUCUUUAAUUCUAGAACAGUAGACCAAGAAUUAAUUUCCAAGUAAUAGAUAUACUAUGUGCAUUUAUUGCCCAUAGUUUGCUACGCUUCAUUCAUCUGAACCUUGUGACAUUCUUUUAAAAGUUUAGCUAGUAAACUUUCACCAAAAUAGGAGAGUCUGAAACUCUCGGAGCUGUUCAAAUAGCCAAAGAAGCAGCGAAACCAUCUCGGCGACGCCCACAGAUAAUAAAUUGCCGUUGGGUAUGACUUUCGUAUGUGCGGCCAAAUCCCCGGCUUAUUUUCUAAAACAAACCGGAUAUGCUAGGAGCAUAAACCUCAAAUCAACCACGCAGCCCUCCAGGUCAACAACUCACAACAGUAGAAGCGUCUCUUUGAGGCGGCGGGUCCACAAGAACCCUGUAAGCGGAUGCAACCAUUCAACGAGGAUGAUAGUCAAGUCCAGGUCGCCAACAAGCACGUCAAAUAACGCCAAUUAAACGAGGAGUUCUUCAAAGCGAAUGCAACCAUUCAAGGUAAAUCCUGAACCCUAGUUCUUCAAACCGCUUCGGGACAGAAACCUGGAAUACAAAAGUCCUGUUUCUCAUCGAAGCGAAUCUCGCUUUUGCGUACACACAGAUGUGCGUAGGACAAGGAAACAACAGAGAAAGGAUUCUAUAUCCAAUAUGGUGAAAUGGUUUUCCGGCCUGUGCAAUGUCCCCCAUAUUAUUAUUGUCUUCAGGUUUUCUUAAAGUUAGCAUACUUCCUUUGUUCAUAGUUAUCGUAUAAAAGCUAAUCCAGUCAGCGAUUGGAUUGCGUAAUCUACUGUUAAGAAAUAAUUUUUUAUUGUAUUAUCCUCUUAAGUAUGAUUUUAUUGAAAGGAUCUGAGUGGGAUAACAUAGGGUUAACGUGAAAUUGAACCGAUUACUGUGAUUUACUGAUGAAAAGAGACAGCAACGAGUACUAUGACUUCCCCAAUACUUCUCGUGACAUGGCUGUCGGGCAUUGUAUUCGUUUGUAUGUUCGCUAACACUGUUAUACGUGUGAUGGACAUAGUUUUCUAUUUACUUUACUUCAUGUAGGCCGAAGAUUACUGCAAUGAAUCCUUUUGUCAGUACCGACGUCCUUAAAGAUCGAGCGAGGCUGUAGUCCGACGUUUGAAGCAGGCUUUAGAAGCAAAAGAUCACGCACUCCAAGGUUUCACUUAAUUUCUUACAUCUUUAUAAGCGAACUUUUUCAUUUGAGUUAUUAGAGAACUUGAUUUUCACGAAAAAAACUCCUUUUUCGUUGUAUACCAGAAUACUAUUUAAAAGAUCCUAAGAUUACGCACUGUAAGCUUUCACUUAAAUUUUUAUUUUUUUAUAGGGGAAAAUUUUCACAUGAGCUCAGUGAGAAACUGGUUUUGGUGAGGAAACUAGUAUUUUCAUGCUAAACCGUAAUACUUCCUGAAUGUAUGCUGGACGUGUAAGGAAUGGACACGUGCUAAAGCACAUAUUAGUGAGAAGAGAUGGGUCUAUAAUAAGUCGUUACUAAAAAGAGUGGCUGCAAUCAGAGUCGGCCUCUAGGUGCCACCACGCCAGGUGAGAUGUUAACCAUUGCUUUUUCCCAAUUAGAUGCAAGUCGGUGGGGUUUCAACCAAUGGGAUUGGUAGAAGUGUACUCCUCCUUUGGACGAAUGUAUGGCUCACUAAUAAAACACUUACAAACGACCUACUUGCUUGUUCAAGUACUUUUAUCAAGUAAUCAUUCAGUUAUUAACAUUCUACGCUCUUAGACAAUUUUUUGUAUACAGUGAUUAUGCAUUCCAAUUAUGUGUUACAUUAAAUAUAUACGAUAUACAAAAUAUGGUAAUAUGUCUUGAUGUAAGCUGAACUACUUAUAGAAUUCAAAAUGAGUCAACUCAGAUUUUUUCUAAAAUAUCUAAAUCGUUGCAAGUGUGGAGGAACCAGAAAACUUUUAUCCUGAUUUUUCUUCUGAAGGUUUACCUUCAUCUAAAGACCACGAAGACACUCGGGACAACAAAAGGCCUCAACAAGCAAGCUGAGCAAUGCUCUUCUAUCUGAAGCGUACCGCUUGGGGACAAAAUACGAUCUGUGCUUUUUCUUUACCCGCGUUCUUUCUUUGUUUAUAAAAGGUGCAUCGGAUUCUUCUCAGAUAAAAGUACUGUGUGACAAUGCCUAAGCUGAAGGCGAAUUGUCCGUGUGCUUGAUGCUCUAAUAGAGGGAGGCUUUUGUGCAGUCGACGGUGUUGCACAGGUAGACGUCGAAGCUCUCAAUGCAGGGGUGGUUACCACUGUACCAGUACGCGACCCAGCCGUUGUAUAGUAGAAAGUGUUGCUUCUAGUCUAGGUGACUUUGCAGUACUGGCGAUCCCAGCAGGGCGUCCACUGCCGUGAACCCAUCCAGCAAUCUCCUUCGUUAGGCAAUUCAAUCGUAUCUACAGAUAACUCUUUUGAAUCUAAUAACAUGUUACCAUAAUCCCUCAUUUGAAAUACAUAAACAAUAGAAACUGAUAUUUCUGUCCAAACUGAUCAUACAGAAACCAGUCCUACACCUCGAGUAUGAUCCCUUCACAAUAUUUAUCAAGACUUAAGAGUUGACCUGGCAGCUGAGUCCUGCACUCAUAUGACCCAUCUAAAGAAACUAAAAGGACAAGCAAAUUUAUGCAUAAAAUCCCUGUCUCCACUCUACCUCAUCACCUUUCUCUCUAUAACCACCGAACCAACCAGCCUUACUCAAGCCAUUAAAAAUUCUCACUAGUUUAAAGCCAUGAUUGAUGAGGUCAAUGCUCUCAUUAAAUAUCACACUUCAUCUAGUGCCCCAACAUUCGAAUAUACUUGUACUUGGUAGUCAAUGGGUCUACUAAUAACAUCAAAUAAAUGCUUAUAAGAGUAUGCUAAUAUGCUUAAUUUCAUCAUCUACAUUUGGUUAUGUAUAUUGAUCAAUCAUCAUUUAUAUAUAAAAUAGACAAGGCCUAAAUUAUUCACUAAGUCCUAAAUUUUCUGCACUUAUUGAUUCAUAGAACUAACACCACUUGACUCCUUUGAUGAAAAUGAAUUUGUUCUCACCUUUUGUUGAAGUUUAUGUGAAAUAUAGACUCAGAUGAACUCUAGUUUAAGUUAUGGAAACAAAGAAGGGAAAGAGAGUCAAAGCCAUGACCCAAACUAGAAGAUGAGGCCCAAUAUGUAAACAAAUUAAGCCUUUCUAGAGACCAUGCCAAAAGGAGACAUGUUUUGUGGAUCUCACCUACAGAUUCAGUUCUAGAAGUCACUUUCUAAGUAUGAACCAGUGAAGGAUGUGAAUUUGAGCUGGACCUUAAGACUGUCGUGGUCGUAGUGGUUGUGGACAUGGUCACGACUACAACUCUUAUCCUCUAUGUACACAUUGUGUUUGGCAGAAUCACCCCUCAAACAAGCCUUAUCAGAAGCUUGGGUAUCCUCUAGAGUGGUCCAUAACUCACUCAGUGGCUACUGUUGAUGUUCUUGUGCAUCUCCUCCGGCAGCCUUCACCCAAACAUGAGGCAUAGAUUACCUUGAGUCGGGAGGAAUAUGAUUGUUUGUUGUGUGCUCAAGACUAGUCGAUGGCACCCCAUACCUCCCAUCAUGCUGUAUCUUCUAGCUCAGGUACUGCCUAACUUGCUUCCUCACCUGAGACUUGGAUCCUUAACUCUAGGGCCUCGAACCACAUGUCAAGUAUUGCUUCCCUCCUUUCUCAUCUUCAAACCUUGCUCAAUCUUGAAUCCGUCACCAUUGCUAAUGGUCACCCAUGUCCUAUUGCUGGGAAAGGGGUGGCAGCUCUCACCUCCUCUAUUUCUCUCUCCAAUGUUUUUUAUGUUCCCUAUUUUCUUGUCAACCUUCUUUCUAUCAGUGCUAUUACUAAAGCCUUAUUUUGCACCGUUCAAUUUUUUCCUUACCAUUGUGUUUUUUAGGACUUGCAGAUGGGAUAGAGGUUUUCUUUUCCCUCCACAAAGACAUCUCAGCCCUCUAAUCUAGUAGAAUCGAACCAAAGGGCUGAGAAUGUUAGGACAUCUUUAUUUAAACCUUUUUUAUUUAAUCAUAUGGGGACAUCUAGGGGGAUUCUAUCCCAACUGUUCUUUGUGGAGUCAUGCAUUAAUCCCCUUGGUUCCAUUCUUAUGUUACAAGAGUGAGGGACUGUGAUUUCAGAGAGCUGAUCAAGGUUUUUGAAAAAAUAGCACCACUUGGCCUAUUAGGCAUAUGACAAUGAGGUUAGUGUGAUCUUCCCUUUUUUCAUCCUGAUUUUCUCACCUUAUUACUAGAUUAUCAUUUCAGUGGAUAGCCUAGACAAUAUGCUUUCCAGCAAAACAAACUGCAUCUGAAAACUCUUCUAGCUCCCACUGCAUCUGUGCCAAGUCCUUGUACAUUGCCUCUGUGCCCUGCAUGACCAGAGGAUGGAAGGGUAACUUACCUACUUUUAACUCAUUUUCCAUCUAAAAAAUAGUCACCAAAAAAUUCUCAAAAGGAAAUUCGAGAUAAAGAAGAGAAAUAACAGAAGCCUCAAAAUCAUUCCUCACUCAUUCAUAUGAGUUUUCACUAGUUUAAUGAGUGUAUUUAUUAACCUUCAAGAUAUAUUUAUAUACAUAUAUAAAACAUUAUAAAAAAUACAAAUCAUCAAAAAAUUUACUAGUUCAGUACUUGUUCCUUGUGGAGUUGACCCUACUCACCUUGUGCUUAGUAAGGAAACCAAUAUAAAUCUUGUUGCAUAAAUCAGAGCCUUCAACAACGAAUAAUUGUAAGUUCUAGUUUGUCAUCUACCCACUUAAAUUUAAUUCUAACAGUACAAUUGAUAGGUGUGAAGCUAGAAUGGUUGUCCAAGGGUUUAACCAAAAGGCAGGUUUUUAUCAAUUAUCAAAACUACCAUAGUGCAUGUAUUACUCCACAGCCAUUAGUCAAAAUUAGAAGAUUCACCAAUUAGAUAUAUUAAAUGCAUUUUUGAAUGGUGACCUUAUAAAAACUAUAUAUAUGAAACAACCGCCAGGGUUUUCUGAUCGCCGCUGUCUGAAUCGUAUUUGCUUACUUCGAAAAUCACACUAUGGUCUGAAACAACCACCCCAUGAAUGGUUGAAAAAACUUUCCUGUUACUCACAGCCAAUUGGCAUUAUUGGAUUGAAAAUAGAUACCUCUUUAUUUUAUAAAUACAAUCAUAAUACACCAUUUCUGAUACAUGUUUAUGUUUAGGACAUUUUAAUUCUAAGACCUGAUUCUCGAGGAAUAAAUUUUUCAUCACCUCACUAGAAUCUACUUUCAUGCUCUGACAUUUGGACCAGCUUAUUAUUUUUUAGGGGUCAAAUUUAUUCCCCAAGCAUUUAGAUACUUACUGUCUCAGUCAUGAUUUGUUUCAACUACUCUGAAAAAAAUGAACAUGGACGCAUGUAAACCAACGUGUACACCUUGCUCUAUAACAUCACUAUCAAAUUCCUAAACUCAAGUACCAGAUCAAACUCUAUAUCGAAUUUGUGGGUGGACUUCGAUAUUGCACAAUAGCUUGACCAGAUAUAUCCUUUGCUAUUAAGAAGGCUUGUCAAAAAAUACACGCUCUAGAUGCUGAGGAUUGGACAAGGCUGAAGCACCUGCUCCAGUAUUUAAAAGGAAAUAUAUCACAUGGGCUUUUUAUUUAUCAAAAUUCUGAUAAUUCACUCCGUGCUUUCAGUGAUAUGGACUGGGCUGGCUCCCAUACUGAUCAAAGAUCAACUAGAGGAUAUCUGAUUUAUCUUGGUUUGAAUCUCGUGUCAUGGAGCUCCAAGAAACAAUCAAUUGUAGCGUGGUCAAACACAGAGGCAGAGUAGAAUGCUUUAGCCAAUGCAACUGCUGAAGUCAUUUGGCUAACAUCACUUCUCCAUGAAUGUAGUAUCAAUCUUUCAUCCACUCCAACUUUGUGGUGUGAUAACAUUGGAGCAACAUACUUUGCAGCAAAUCUUAUAUUUCACACCAGGACCAAACAUAUAGAGAUCAAUUAUUAUUUCAUUUGAGAACAAGUGGUGGCCAAGCAUCUUCAAAUUGCAUUCAUCUCCAGCAAAGAUCAAGUCGCAGAUGUUCUUAAAAAACCAUUCCCCAAACAUAGAUUUCACUGGCUACGAAAUAAGCUCAACGUCAUGUCAGGUUCACUCGCCGUUGCACUUGCGGGGGAAUGUGAACGGAGCUACCAGUAUCAGAACAAAUACUCAAACUUCAGUGAGCCGGUGUACAAGGCAGAACCGGUCAAGCCGGUUCAACAUUUACGGUCCCCUGUUACAGAACAAAGUUGGGGUCUUGCUCAACGGGAAACUGCAAAUCUUGAAAUACUUCAAAAUUGUUAUCAAAAUAUAUAAAAAUAAGAAUUUACUGUCCACAAAUUAUAUUUGAUUCUUUCAAAUAUUCUUUCCUUCAAGAUCCAUGACUCAUCUCUCCUCUUGAUUCUCUAACUUUCUCCCGAUCAACUUUUCAGUUCCCACAUGGCCCCCAGACACCAGCUCCUCGUCGCUACCAGAGCAGCCGUGACUAUGGUGCUGGUUUUCUUCGCCGUACCGUUGGAAGCCAGCCAGCUGAACAUGUAUGAAGGACCCCGGCGCACCGGGUGAUGCACAGCUUGCUUUGAUUGCGAGUGCUGCAGCUCACCUACACAGGAAGCUACCGCUUCUACUAUAACGUCGGCUGGCCCGCCUACAUCUACAGAGGUAAUCACAUAUACAACGGAAAUCCUGGACCUAGUCCUCAGAAGCAACGUGGACUGCACUAGCGGCUUCCCCUACCAGAGCAUCAAGCAAACCGAGACUGCUCCUUAAAGGUGUUGACAUUGUCAUAGGAUGCUAGUUUUCGAAGAGUCAUAUCCAGGUCAUUAAAAUAAAUGACGGAAAACUAGAAAUAAGAGAGACCCCUGUAAUCUCUCUUCACGUGAUGCUUGUUGCAUUUUAGAGUGUGUCUCAACUAUUUUUCUUUGUCAGUAGUUUUGUGUAAGUUUCUUGAGUCUGUUACGGUAAUAAUUUUCUGUGAGAGGUUAUAGAUGUGCAUGUUUGGCUUCGUGCUUACUAAAAGUUAGUGCAAGGGUGACUUGCUCAGCCCUCUUUUGAGAAAGGUCCAUGUAGGCCUUUUCCCUACCUUUUAGGCUUGCAUUUGAAAUUAUUUUCUAGUUAGAAAACAGUCUAACACUUUUUCUACAAUCUUUACUUAAAGGGACCUCGAGGAGAGAAAUAGCGAGAGGAAGAUAGAGACAAAUCAAGAGUAUGCGAAACCCUUUCCUAUUCAGCAACAUGAAACCAACUAGCGCAGAAAUCAGAUCAAUUGAAUGGUUAUCUAGGCUGAUCCCAGUUCACCCGGUAAUACAAAAACAUUAGAUUAGAGCAUACAACUUGAUGAGUACGCUGAGAACUAAGAUAAAACCAUGUCAAAUCAUCCAUGUGAAAAGGAUCUGAGGAAAUCCAGAUUAUCAUUCAUUAGUUCAAAUCGCUGUGUUGUUUGUUGCAUUGUUUGUUUUUUUGUUUAUAAUAAUUGUUCGACUGGCAUAUGUAUGCACUCUUUUUCUGAGAAGAUAGUUAGACAUAAGUUCUGUAGUUACCAUAUCAAGAAUACGUGACACUAGAUAUCCUUUAAUACGAUUUAGUAUGCAAUAUGAACUGUGUCGAUAGCAUUGUAUGUGUUAAGAACGGAUAAUUUUUGUAAGACCCAUCUGAGAAUGGGUAAGUAUUUUAGUACCUUAAAAAUUUACAAACAUAGUUAUCACAUUAUGUGUAUACAAUGUGACAUUUCGUUGAAUAUAAGAUACUGACAUUGUUAACACUAAGGAUGGACUUUGGUUUCAAGGCAUCCAAAGCAUAUAAUACUUAAUUGCUGUAGUUAUCAUAGUACAUUAGUAAAUCGAAUUAAGUACUAAUAAAUUGUAUAAAAUAUACAACAUCUUAUAUCAGUAGAUAAACUGUAUAUGGAACAUAGCGAUUCUAUAUAGUGAAUAUAACAUAAAACAAGGGUGAGAAGGAUACAAAAAAUCAUCUGGAUACUUAGUAUAUUCCUAUCACAAAUGACAAAAUAUGAAUGAUCCAUAUGCAUAUUUGUCACUGACACCUAAAAGCGUGAUUGCUAAUAAGGUAGAUAUCCAUGAAGAGAAGACACCUAAAAUCGUGAUUAUUAAUAAGGUAGAUAUAUAGGCAUUAUGAACGUGGUAUACUGCUACACAAUUAUUGAUUAAUGUGUUUGACAAAAGAAUACUAUGCAAACGAGACAGAAUAGUAAAUUUGAACACAAAUAUCUAUUAAUACAUUCAAAGAUCAAACAUUAUAUCAAGAAUUUGUGAAUCAAUACGAAGUGAUUAUACAUUUAUUGCAUCAUCCUAUCGGGAUGUAAAUAUAAUUCUUUUAUCCAUGAAGUGUACUUUCAGUCCAAUGGAUGUGAUCAUAAUUCCAUUAACCUUUUCAAGGGGACGUACGGAAGUGUCUAAGAACAGAUAUAAAUACCUUAAUAGAAAUUGAAUUCCGAAAAAAUCAUCUUAGUCUUCUGAAUGAACGUUUCAGAUAAGAACAGCAAUACUAAUCAAAAUGAUUUUGGGUAAUAUAUCUAAUUAGUUUUAUAAAAGUUCAGAUUAUAAUGUAAUAAAAAAUGACUGAAGAGGAUAACUCGUCAAAUUGGCCAUCUCUGGUGUAGCUGUCGAGAUGGACGUUCGUAAGCCAACUACUUCCAUAAAACCCCAAAAUCAUUCGUAGGAGUUUAGACAGGUCAUCGAAGGGCCACACGUGUGGAGAAAUAGGCUACCCGAAAUUCUGCACGGGGAGGACGUGCAAGACCUUUCCAGGUAGGUUAUGGCAGAAUUUCACAGUAUCAACCAUUGAUGCUAGACCUUCCACUCCAAGAGACGCCUGAAAUAUCAUAAACUUGAAAUGAAUUUAAUGCGUUCGUAAUGACAUCUGCAAAAUAUUUGUUCAUUUGGAAAAUAUUCAUUUGGACAAAGCCUGGAGUAAUCACAUCUCGACUGAACUGCUGGCGGACUUUUAUGAAAUCUUUCUUCUUGAGCUGCUUGCUUCUGAACUAAUGCUUGAAGGAUAUGCUCGGGAUCAAAUAAAAAUGCUCUUGGCUUCUUUUUUUCGAAAGUCAUGGCAUUCCUACAGAGGCAUUGCUCUCGUCGCCAUGGCUGUUUUCUGGGGUCGGCCGGCAUCAGCGGUCACGGUGGGAACCGUCCCCAGCCGUCUAGGGGUCGGACGGAGAUUUAGCCGCAGCAGCUCCAUUCCCAACAGGUCGACCUCACUGUAGCGAACCAGGUCAGGCUUUCGAACCCCAAACUUUCUCCUGGUCCGAGGUACAGGUAGCCCAUAACGGCCAGCCUCUCUCUCUUGUAAACAUGGGGGCCGCGGCAGAGCCCAUCGGGCUUUUUCCCUUCUCUGCUCUUGUACCCUAUUCAGUGGCGCAGAGGAUGAUGAGACACCAAUCUCCCCAUUUUUUGGUCCGGCUACCUUUUCUUGAAUCCGCACAGUGCUGGGAAAGAAAAGGAACGAAAUGAACAAAUUCUCUGGUCCUUGGCAACUGCUUGGAGCUUGGGCAAGAGGGGAAAGACAACUGUCAUGUUGGUACGACCAAUGAGAGUGUCAGGUGUGGCUUUCCACAGUUCUAAAAAUUGUCGUUAGCUCAGUGGGUGUGAUGUAUCCUGAAGCAUAGUUCAUCACAAAGAAGAAGAGAGAGAGAGAGAUAGAAGAAGAAUCUUUCAAGGAGGAUUGAGAGAGAUCGAGAGAAAGGAACAAACUCUCAUCUGUAUAUUUUGAAAGGAGUUCUGUGGGUUAUAUAUUCUACAAAUAGUUCCGUUUGACACUCGUUGAACACAUGAUGGGCGUCUUUAUUUAAUAACUGGCCAUUAAUAAAUGCUGAUUACUGAUAACAAUGGUGUCCUCUGAUUGGGUGAGAUGAGCCGGCAGUUGUACCAGUUCUGAUUCUUUUCUUUAUUAUGUAUCUGUCGUGAAAUGUGGUGUGAGUCUGUGCAUGAAACUAUUUGAUGAAAUUCCUCUUCUUGAUCUUGAGUUGCUUCGAUACUCCCCCACAAGUGACAAGUUGGGAUAACAUUCAGCCUGGAUUUCAGAAAGAGAAACUUGUACUUUGGUGAGGCUUUUGUAUGAAUAUCCGCAAGUUGAACCUUGGUAGAGAGAAACCCAAUUUUUAGUUGACUUGAGUUGACUUGUUCACACUGACGAAAUGAUAAUCGAUUUCAAUAUGAUUUGUGUGUGCAUGAAACACAAGGUUUGUCACCAGAUAUGAAGCUCCAGGAUUAUCACACCAUAAAAGAGGAGUAUAUUUCAAUUUAAAUUGAAGUUCAUGAAGAAGAGGUUUGAUCCAAAUGAAUUCAGCAGUUCUGUUUACAAUAGACUUGUAUUCUGCUUUAGUACUUGACCUAGAAACGAUUAGUUGCUUUCUUGAGCUCCAUGAAACAAGUUUUUUUUCAAGGAAUAUUAAAAAUCUAUAAGUUGAAUGCUGAUCAAUGGGAAGCCUGCCCAAUCAACAUUGCUAAAUAUAAAGAGUGAAAAGUCAGAUGAUUUAUGAAAUUGAAGACCAUCCAUAAUCAUGCCCCUUAAAUACCAAAGAAGGUGCUUGACUUUACUCCAAUCCUCUUGUGUUCAGUUAUGCAUCAUUUGACAAGACAUAUUCAGCACAAACAAGAUGUCUGGUCGGGUGUGAUGUGGUCUUAAGUCAUCAUUAAGAUCAUCAAUCAAUUUUAAAUAUUUAUCGAACUAUGUUCACCUAAAAUAAAAUUAAAAUUAUUAUUAGUGGUGAAUUACAUCAUCUCCUCAAGGAAGGAAUCAAAAUAAAUGAUUUAAUUCCCUAUCAAAAACAAAUUUUAUCGUAAUAUCUAUAUUAUUGUGAGAAAAUAUUGACUAUAGUGAUGAUUAAAAUUAAAUAAAAAAAGUAAAAUAACUUUCAAAUGAAUAAUAUCAAUGAUAAAUAAAUAUUCGUAGGAAAUAAAUAACAUAGUAAAUAAAUAAAGUUCGAAACAAGAUAGAAAUAUUUAAAUUUUGAAAGAAAUAAACAAAAAUAAAUAAAAGCUUACAACACUUAGUAUCUUUGAGUUCUUCUUGACCUUAGGGUAGAUCCCUUAGCUUGUGUCUAGUUCAACAAAAUAGAUUUGGGCUGGUUGAUGUUGAGAAAUAGAGAGCAAUCCCCUGAUACACCAAGUUGCUGAAAAUAAAAGAAAAAUGGAAGAAAACCUUUAUCUAACCCUAGAACAUUUAAAAGAAUUACGAAAAAAAUUCCACUCCCUUCCUCUUAGAUCCUUUUAUCAACUAUAUCUGCAAAUCAAGCAUUCUAUUUCAAUUUUUUAUUUUUUCAUAUUUAUUUUUUCUGAUUUUUCUGUAUUUUUUUGAUUUCCCCAUAUUUUCUUCGAUUUUUCUAGAUCUUUCUAAAUAUUGCACUAGAGAAUAAUAGAUACUUAUGUUUUACUAGACAAUAGUUGAUAUUUUUAAAUAUUCCUAACCACACACAUAUUGAGAUAUAUCUAAUUUAUUAGAUGGUAACCAAUAUUUGUCCUCGUCAUGUGGGAAGUUGAGAGUUGUUUGAUUCACAUGCUAUCGAUCCACGAUGAUCAAUAGGUGACAUGGCCACUUGUACGUUGUUGGAUGAGGCCACUGCACUCUUUUCACUCACAUUUGCUUCAUCGAAGCACGUGAGAUGACACCUAACAACAUGGCUCAUCAUCGAGCAUCAAAUCUAUACACCGCUGAUCCACCAAAAGGAGGAGUCAUGUAUCUGCACAGCUAUCGUCAGCUAGCAGUCACCUUUUCUCUUGCCUUUAUCAAGAUCUAUGCAUCAACCACUAGGUGCGGUGAGUUAGGUGAGGUGUCACCUCCUAGUGUGUCAGAUCGCUCCACUUUUAUGAGCAUAAUAUUCGGGUGGUGGUUAGCGUCCUUAGACUUAGUGAUGUGUCACUCUUCUAUUCAUUAGAUCAAUGACACUAGAAUAAACUAUUAUAUGGAUGAUGUCUUAGGCCCACAUAAGUCCAAUAAUUAGUGAGCCCAUUAAGCUUUUUUUAUUCUUAUUUAAUUCAUAAAAAAUUUAAAAAAUUUAAAAUUUAUUUUUAAAUAUACAUAAUUUGGUAAAAAAUAUAAAAUUGAGUACAACAUAAUAAAACUUGAAACAAUAUGAAAUAAAUAAGAUUUAUGAAUCAACCAAAUUUAAUUAUAAAAUAUUAUUUUAAAUCAAAAUUUGGAUAAAUUCAUUUAAAUAAAACAUAAACUAUAUUAAUAUGGUAAAAUGUGAAAUAAUGAUCAAAUAUGUAUUAUUCUCCCAAAUUUGAUAAUACAUUAGCAUGUAAUGUUCAAAAGUUAUUAGGGUGAUAGUACGAUAUUAGAGAGCCCCAAUUGUGCUUCAAUAUAGUGUCAUGUCAAAAGUUCUCUUGGAGUGUUUUAGAUCAUAAAAAGUUCAAGAGUUUGACACAGGUCUAAUCAAAAUUUUUAUAUUUUUCCAUUUUUUUUUCAUAGGAUAGAUGAUAUAUAUUUUGAUUGCGAUAAAAACAACCAAUAAAUUAUGAAUUAAUUCUAUUCCUAUAAGGAAAUGAGCAGGUCCUAAAUCACACAUAGAAAAUGUGGAAUUUAAAGAACAGAUAAUAUUAUGAAUUUCAGAGGGAUCAGGGCUAAUUAAUAGAAUAUUUUCGACAUGUAUAAGUAAAAAAUACAAUACAGAAUUUUUAUAUUUGAAAAAUAAUGAGGAGUCAGUUUUAGAGUCAGUAAAUCAAAGGGAAAUUAAGAAAUUAGAGAGUUUCUUAAACCAUUUGCGAGGGUCUUGUUUUAGUCCAUAUAAUGAUUUUCAAAGUUUACAAAUUUAAUCAUAGUCAAUAGGAUGACUAAAACUAGGGGGUUGAUUCAUAUAAAUUCUUUUAGAAAGAUCACCAUGUAAGAAAACAUUCGAGACAUCCAAUUGGUGAAUAUGCCAAUUAUGUCUGAUCAUUAGAGAAAGUAAAUUGCAGACAGUAAUUUUAAUAGUAGAAUUAAAUGUUUCAUGAUAAUCUAAUCCCUCAUCUUGAGUGUAUCCCUUGGCUACUAAUCUUGUUAUAUAGCGAUCAAUAGAACCAUCAGGUUUGAGCUUGAAUUUAGAAAUCUUACGACAACCUAUAGUAUGCAUGUUUGCAGUUUGAGGAAUGAGAGAUCAAGUUUGAUUUUGAAGGUGUAUUAAAUUCUAAAUUGAUUGCUUUGUUCCAAUAAGGAUCUUUUGAUGCUAUAGUUAACAUGUAGGUGUAAUAAGAAGACUAGUUGAACUAAGAAGACAUGUUAGAAGAGGAUGUCUAGUGGUGAUUAGAGAGAUAGGUUAGGUUUGAGCAUAGAUUUUUGUGAGUGAUCUUUCUUUCAGUGGUGGAGUGAGAGAGGGAGAUUAGAUGUCUAGAUUAAUGGAAUCUUGAGACAUUGGUUGGCUGGGACUGGUUUUGAAAUGAUGCGAGGGUGAAGUACUAGGAUUGGUAUCUGAAUUUUGAGAUAUCACAUCAAUAUGAUUGGUAUGUCCAGAAAAAUAUGAGGAGGUGAGUUAUCAAGAGAGAUGAUGGAAGAAUCAUGAGAAGAAUGACUGUGAGAGGAAUUUAACAAGUUUUGUGAAUAAUUUGAGUUUAAUGGAAUAGGAGAAUAAGGGAGGCUCCUAAUAUGCUUGUGGAAGAUGAAUUAUCAUUACAGAAAUUUUUGCUUAAAAAUUUAGGAUGAGCAUAGGAAAAUUUGUUCUAUCAAAUAAAACAUCACGAGAUAUAAAAAGUUUUCUAGAAACUAGUGAAAAAUACCUAUAACCUAAGUGCAUUGAACUAUAACCAAGAAAAACACAUCUUUUAGAGUGAAAAUUAAGUUUGUUAGGUGCAUAAGCUCAUAAAUUAGGAAAACAUAAACAACCAAAGGUUUUUAACAUAGAAAAAUGAGGAGUUUUAUUAAAUAAUAGUUUUUAAAGUGAUUUAUAUUUUAAGAUAGAUGUUGUCAUGUGAUUUAUAAGAAAUGUUGCUGUGGAGAUGGCUUCAUCACAGAAUUUAUUUGGCAUUUAAGCAUUGUGUAUUAAUAACAAUGCCAUUUCUAUUAUAUGCCUUUGUUUUCAUUUUGUGAUACCAUUUUGUUCAGAGAUGUAGGGCCAUGACAUAGGAAGAUGAAUUCCACGAGUUUUUAAAUAUUUUUAUAGGGAUUGAAAUUCAACCCCCCUAUCUGAUUGGAAGGAGAUAAUUUUCUCUGAAGAUUUCCAUUCUACCUUAACAUGAAAUUCAGAGAAUAUAAAUAAGACCACUUUUUUUUCAUAAGAAAUAGCGAUGUAUAUUUGCUGAAAUCAUCCACAAAUAUCACAUAAUAGAUAAAACUGAAAUAGCGAUGGGUAGGCACCCACAUGUUGGAAUGAAUUAGUUUUAGUUCUAAAACUUUAGAUGAUUUAUGUAAUGAGAUUUUAAAACGCAAUUUAUGCGAUUUUGAUAGACAACAUACAUCACAUAAAGUGAGAGAGUUUAUGAGUGAUAGGAAGGUCAUAUUUAUUUAUGACAUACUGAAGAGUUAUAAAAUGGGGAUGGCCAAGUCGAUUAUGCCAAGUAUUUGGUGAAUUUUUCUAUCCUACAAAAGCAGAAAAAUUCUGACAAUUUUGCAAAAGAUAAAGACCAUCUUUAUGCUUCCCUUUCAGGAGGACCUCCCCUAUCGUGAUGUCCUUCACCAAGCAAAAAUAAAGGUGAAAUUGUAUAAACACAUUGUUAUAACAUGUAAAUUUGUGAACGAAUAAUAAAUAUUUGGUAAUGAAUGGGACAUGGAGAAUAUCAUUUAAUUUAAGUGAAUGUUUUGCAUGAUUUAAAAAUGAAUUUUCAGUAGAUGAAAUAGUCAAACCUUGUCCAUUUCUCACAUAUAGUUGAUCUGGUCCUGUGUAGAUUGUGGGAUUUUGAAUGUUGGAGAUAUUUGAAGUGACAUGUGAGAUGCACCACUAUUUGGAUAACAUUCUUGGAGGAUGCUAGAGUUGGAUUUUUAUUGAGGUUGGCAAUAUUGACUUGGGGUGGCAUCAUUCUUGAGUAUGUUUGUUGAUUGUUCUGUUAUGAAUUGAUAUACUCCUUGAAGUUGGGCUGCUGAAAAUCUUUAUUGAACCAUUCAUAGUAGUUAAUCACACAAUGUCCAUGUUUAAAACAUAAUUGAUAGUGUCAAAGUCAAUUUUGUUGAUUUCUGUCUCUACCUCAAUUAGACUUACCUCCUCUUCCAUACCCUUGAUCAUUGACUGAGAUUUGUGAAUAGUCUACAGAGGGAGGAAAUUUUAAUGAUUUUUGAAAUUCAAUCUGUGAUUUAGAUGAGAAUCAUAUGUUCUCAGAUUGGCUACAACAUCAUCAAAUGUGAGAUGAUCAAGUUGAGAGCUCAUACUAACAAAAAAAACAUUGUCAUUUUGUCCCAAUCCUCUUAAUGGUGAGAAAAUAAGAUCAUAUUCAUCAAUAGAAUGACCACUGGCCAUUAGUUCAUCUCCUAUGGUUUGAAUGCUUUGGAUGUAAGUGUCGAGAACCAUUUUUCUUUUUUGUAAAUCGUGAAGUCGAGUCUGCAAUUCCAUCAGCUGAGAUCUUGAUCUUCUUGCAAAAUUUUUAUUGAUUACAACCCAUGCUUGCUUGGCAGUCCUUUUGCCAACUAUGAUUGGUAAGAUUGCUUCAAAUAGAGAAGAGGUAAUAAUUGACAGAACAAUUGGAUUAUUUUUCUGUCAUCUUUUGUAUUCUAGAUUGGACUGACUAUGUCUAUUUUCAUCAAUUGAGGAAAUCAUUGGUGGAUCUUGCUCUAAAAUACCAAUCAGAUCAUAGGCAGUUAAGAUAGGUAACAACUACGUUUUCCAUAGCAGAAAAUUCUCCUUGGAUAGUUUGAGAGAAAUCAUCAAACCUGAGGGGUUCAAAUUUAUCAUAGUAACCUGAUGUAUCGUGGCAGCUCCAUUGUCAGAAGAUGAAGAAGAGUUGUUUUUCUCACACAAUCUGCCAUGCUUUUGAAGAGAUUGAGCUUAGAUCUUGUUGCCAAGUGGCUGAUGGCUCUAAUCUCAUAAAGAAGAAGAGGUAGAGAGAUAGAAGAAAAUUCUUUCAAGAAAGAGGAUCGAGAGAGGUCGAGAGAAAGGAGCAAGCUCUCAUUUGUAUGUUCCGAAGACUUAAAGAAUUACAAUGAGUUAUGUGGUUUAUAUGUUCUACAAAUAGUGCCAUUUUUCACACCGUCGAACACAUAACGGGCAUCUUUCUUUAAUAACCGUUCAUUAAUAAAUGCCCGAUAAUGUUGGUGUCCUUUGAUUGGCUGAGAUGACCUGGCAGUUGUGCAGGUUCAGAUUCCAUUCUUUAUUUUGUCUUUAAGAAACUGGUUUGUUUAUAUCUGUCGUGAACCGUCAUGUGAAUCUGUGAGUAAAACGGUUUGAUGAAAUUCCUCUUCUUGAUCUUGAGUUGCUUCAAUACAUCAAAGCUAUCAUAUGAUAUUAUAGACAUUCCACCCUUUCGCUCGUUCACAACUCUGCUCAACCGGAGUGCAUCCAAGCUGGUUUCCAACUCUUCUGUCUCAAUGUGAGUUCCGUUAAACUUUUGGUUCCUCCUCUGAUUCAUCCCAUUUUGAGAACUUUUGCAAUGAGUUCUUCUUCAUUAACUUGUUCAAUAUCGUAAGUAUCAUUUUCAGGCAUCAGUCCCAAAGAAGCGGACCAUCCCGUGUCCCCUGGCCGACGAUGUAUUUGGUUGGAACCCAGGUUUCACCUGGUGAGAAGCGGUUCUGAUACAGUCCCUCUUAUUAUGGAAUUGAUGUAAAUCUAGAUAAAAAAGUCAAAUGGAGGGAAACUUCAGAUGAUUAUAACUCUAGACUUAAAGCAAAUGACUUUCAGAUCCUUCGCCCUUGUCAGAAUCAACCUUGGAUAGAUUGAAACACAAGGGCAGGAGCAGGGAUGCUACAGUGACUCUUGUUAGCCAGGUAGAGAAAGGGAUAACGAGGCCCUUAGAGUGACCUCAGAUUCCAGCCGAGACCCUUCCUUUCCUUUCUAUUGCCCUUUAAGACGAGGGGGGAGAUGGCGGUUAUCACUGCAUGAUGGUGGGUUAUGGAACCGCCACGUCAAUGGAUUCCAAAAUUUUUGGCGACAGAACAUGACGGAGAGCGGCAUGCUGUCAAUGCAGACCACUUCGAACAACAGCUCAAGUGCCUAAUGAGUAUUUAACGUAACUAGGGUGAAAUAAGUAACAUGCAUAUUUUUGCAGAAUCAUAAAAAAGGUGUUGGAGAAGACGAGUAUCCUCGUUUCUCCUUCCUGGACAGUGUAAGUUUGAUGUAAAAUACACAUUAGAUUUACAUAAACACAUUAGAUUUAGUGGUUCGGAGAAACCUUCAAACUCUUUCAUCCCACACUGAUCUUGUUUCUUUAUCCUGGAGAAUUGUCUAUUUCAGCCCUUGAUAAAAAACCUUUUGCCCUCACACAACACGCUUUCAGGCCCUAAAAUUAGCGCUCGUGGUGGUCUCCCUUCUUCGUGCCAGAUUAGGAAAAAUUUUCUGGGGAAUAAGGAAUGCAUAUGCCCUUGAAAUCCAAUUACGUACUCACCGAAGAGGCUAUUGGAACCCAGUCAGCCACAAUAGAAGGUCCUUCUCUACAACUCCGUUACAGUACGCUUUCAACUCCUACCGCCUACAUACUCAUGCCCUGAUACCUAUCUCACGUAGGUCCAUGCAGCGUCUGUGAGGAUGUAACGAGCUACUGCCGGGCUAAGUACGGGCCCCAGCUCCGCCAAUAAAAUGCAAUAGUUGGAAUUUUACUUUAUGUUCAAGAAGACCAUGACAUUUUUGGGAGAAGAGACGAAAGCCCAGUCUUCUCUUCAGGGAAAAGGCUUAUAAAAAGAUACAUGGAAAGAAAAACCAGCGUCUUGAUGCCUGGGCCACCGAAAAGAGCUACGAUUCUUCUGGAGGUUUUAAAUAAUUUUUGAAUACCUUAAUGUCAUGCAAAUAAAAGAGAUUUUACCCUUCUCUAAAGACACUUCCAAGGAGAAAUAAAAUCACCAAUUUUUUGGAGCAACAAAGCUGAUGGUAAGUAAAAAAUUUUGUCAGAGUCAGAUAAGGUGAUAGCUGCCACACCAUCCUAAUGAAUAUUUCAGAAAGACAUAGUCAUCCUCCAAGUUUAGAAAAGCUGAAUUAACUUUAUUUAUUUAAAUAUUAACCAUCGCAAAUUUCUUCGUUAAUGAUACCGAAAUUGAAAUUUCGAACUCUACUUGAUUUAAAGUCAAAAUUUUCUUUAUUUAAAAAUUACCCAGAGAUGUGAAUUAAUCAUAGCAUAUGAUUCAAAGGAGUCUUAUAAGUUUUAACAAUUUUCCAUAUUUGGAAAUUAUUUUCAGUAUCAUGGGAAAUAAAAAUUUUAUUUAACAAAAGAUCCAAGAAAAAUGAAUGGAGCUCAAUGUGAACAUCUCUCGUCCAUUUGACACCGUAAGUGAACUAUGAUCAUGUGAAGUGUUCUAUUAUUUACUUGUCUACAUUAGUACUUAGAACAUACAUCAAAAAGUUUUCAAAUCUUAGUAAACACUAUACCGAUUGGCCUUUAUAGUUUUUCAUGAAGCAUUAUAAUAAACUGGAUGGAUACAAGUGUAAGUUCCUUAAACUCUGUGUAGUCCUCGUCUUGGAAAAAAAAUUAUUCACAAAAUAUGUCCUUGUGACUUUUGUAGCAGACAAUGUAAAGAUCAUGUUGCUAUCCUUAAAUACAUUUAAGCUUGUGACUAGUUGAUAAUUUCACCAAGUAUAGUAGUUUUUAAACGCCUACUUACCUUUCAUGAUAGGUGGGCAUGUCCCUUGCCAACUUCCUAAAAUUUAGUUAUUGGCACCGACUGGUUCAUUGAAAGCUCUCGACGCCAUAAUGUCAUGUUUUUUCUUUCACUCCCUCGUCCUCUCUGAACGUGUACACUUAUUUUCCCUUAUAGAAAAUUAUGUUGGCAUACUUCUGUGAGUCAAUGUAUGAGUCUCCAGAUCAUUGCGUUCAAUAGUUUGUGAAAUUUCUCUCCAUAAGGGAAACUAUUCGUAAGCAUUAUUGAUUUUUGUAAAACUGUUGUAUGUUCCACGCAUUUUUCAGCUAUCCACAUAUGAAACUCAAAGCGGCAUUUGCUAUCCAUCCCNNNNNNNNNNNNNNNNNNNNNNNNNNNNNNNNNNNNNNNNNNNNNNNNNNNNNNNNNNNNNNNNNNNNNNNNNNNNNNNNNNNNNNNNNNNNNNNNNNNNNNNNNNNNNNNNNNNNNNNNNNNNNNNNNNNNNNNNNNNNNNNNNNNNNNNNNNNNNNNNNNNNNNNNNNNNNNNNNNNNNNNNNNNNNNNNNNNNNNNNNNNNNNNNNNNNNNNNNNNNNNNNNNNNNNNNNNNNNNNNNNNNNNNNNNNNNNNNNNNNNNNNNNNNNNNNNNNNNNNNNNNNNNNNNNNNNNNNNNNNNNNNNNNNNNNNNNNNNNNNNNNNNNNNNNNNNNNNNNNNNNNNNNNNNNNNNNNNNNNNNNNNNNNNNNNNNNNNNNNNNNNNNNNNNNNNNNNNNNNNNNNNNNNNNNNNNNNNNNNNNNNNNNNNNNNNNNNNNNNNNNNNNNNNNNNNNNNNNNNNNNNNNNNNNNNNNNNNNNNNNNNNNNNNNNNNNNNNNNNNNNNNNNNNNNNNNNNNNNNNNNNNNNNNNNNNNNNNNNNNNNNNNNNNNNNNNNNNNNNNNNNNNNNNNNNNNNNNNNNNNNNNNNNNNNNNNNNNNNNNNNNNNNNNNNNNNNNNNNNNNNNNNNNNNNNNNNNNNNNNNNNNNNNNNNNNNNNNNNNNNNNNNNNNNNNNNNNNNNNNNNNNNNNNNNNNNNNNNNNNNNNNNNNNNNNNNNNNNNNNNNNNNNNNNNNNNNNNNNNNNNNNNNNNNNNNNNNNNNNNNNNNNNNNNNNNNNNNNNNNNNNNNNNNNNNNNNNNNNNNNNNNNNNNNNNNNNNNNNNNNNNNNNNNNNNNNNNNNNNNNNNNNNNNNNNNNNNNNNNNNNNNNNNNNNNNNNNNNNNNNNNNNNNNNNNNNNNNNNNNNNNNNNNNNNNNNNNNNNNNNNNNNNNNNNNNNNNNNNNNNNNNNNNNNNNNNNNNNNNNNNNNNNNNNNNNNNNNNNNNNNNNNNNNNNNNNNNNNNNNNNNNNNNNNNNNNNNNNNNNNNNNNNNNNNNNNNNNNNNNNNNNNNNNNNNNNNNNNNNNNNNNNNNNNNNNNNNNNNNNNNNNNNNNNNNNNNNNNNNNNNNNNNNNNNNNNNNNNNNNNNNNNNNNNNNNNNNNNNNNNNNNNNNNNNNNNNNNNNNNNNNNNNNNNNNNNNNNNNNNNNNNNNNNNNNNNNNNNNNNNNNNNNNNNNNNNNNNNNNNNNNNNNNNNNNNNNNNNNNNNNNNNNNNNNNNNNNNNNNNNNNNNNNNNNNNNNNNNNNNNNNNNNNNNNNNNNNNNNNNNNNNNNNNNNNNNNNNNNNNNNNNNNNNNNNNNNNNNNNNNNNNNNNNNNNNNNNNNNNNNNNNNNNNNNNNNNNNNNNNNNNNNNNNNNNNNNNNNNNNNNNNNNNNNNNNNNNNNNNNNNNNNNNNNNNNNNNNNNNNNNNNNNNNNNNNNNNNNNNNNNNNNNNNNNNNNNNNNNNNNNNNNNNNNNNNNNNNNNNNNNNNNNNNNNNNNNNNNNNNNNNNNNNNNNNNNNNNNNNNNNNNNNNNNNNNNNNNNNNNNNNNNNNNNNNNNNNNNNNNNNNNNNNNNNNNNNNNNNNNNNNNNNNNNNNNNNNNNNNNNNNNNNNNNNNNNNNNNNNNNNNNNNNNNNNNNNNNNNNNNNNNNNNNNNNNNNNNNNNNNNNNNNNNNNNNNNNNNNNNNNNNNNNNNNNNNNNNNNNNNNNNNNNNNNNNNNNNNNNNNNNNNNNNNNNNNNNNNNNNNNNNNNNNNNNNNNNNNNNNNNNNNNNNNNNNNNNNNNNNNNNNNNNNNNNNNNNNNNNNNNNNNNNNNNNNNNNNNNNNNNNNNNNNNNNNNNNNNNNNNNNNNNNNNNNNNNNNNNNNNNNNNNNNNNNNNNNNNNNNNNNNNNNNNNNNNNNNNNNNNNNNNNNNNNNNNNNNNNNNNNNNNNNNNNNNNNNNNNNNNNNNNNNNNNNNNNNNNNNNNNNNNNNNNNNNNNNNNNNNNNNNNNNNNNNNNNNNNNNNNNNNNNNNNNNNNNNNNNNNNNNNNNNNNNNNNNNNNNNNNNNNNNNNNNNNNNNNNNNNNNNNNNNNNNNNNNNNNNNNNNNNNNNNNNNNNNNNNNNNNNNNNNNNNNNNNNNNNNNNNNNNNNNNNNNNNNNNNNNNNNNNNNNNNNNNNNNNNNNNNNNNNNNNNNNNNNNNNNNNNNNNNNNNNNNNNNNNNNNNNNNNNNNNNNNNNNNNNNNNNNNNNNNNNNNNNNNNNNNNNNNNNNNNNNNNNNNNNNNNNNNNNNNNNNNNNNNNNNNNNNNNNNNNNNNNNNNNNNNNNNNNNNNNNNNNNNNCCGAGAUUCCGUUGCUUCAGAAUCUCCCAAUUUUGCUUCGUUGUCUUCUUAGCGUCAAGAACAAGUAGCAUAUCUUUUGGAACAGCACUGAUAAUCGUAGAGUGCCAAUUGGUUCUUCUUCUUAGGCACAUUAUCAUCAAUAAUUGCCUGCCAUAACUCAUGAGAGUCAAGAAAUACCUCCAUGCUCAUCGCCCAAACUUGAUAAUUUGUCUUGGAGAGCUUCAGAGAUGGAGCUAGAACCGUCAUCUCUCCUCUGCGUUCACCCGAAGUGUUUGUCUCACCUAUCUUCUUUGCCAUCUUGCUACUCCAACCGAUCGAUCCCGCUCUAAUACCAAUUGUUGACUUCAAGAAGCCUGUAACUGUCACAAGAACUUUGCAAAAACAGAAACACUAAAAAAAGAAUCGAUCUAUAUGAAUUGAUGAAUGAGAGUUAUAGGAGACAAAUUUCAUCGAGCACAUAGGACCCUUUAUAUAGCCAUCCAAUGAAAAAAUAGAGAGAGUGCUCCUAACUGCCGAUUGAGUGAGCCGGCGUUUUUGACCACAUGGCCUCUUCUCCACCAUUAUAACUCCGAUGGAUUGAUGGUCCUGAUUAAGCUUGUAAAGAAAAAUAACUAUCGAAAAAUGAAAAUCCCCAAAUCGAACCUGUGCCGAAGAACUCACUGGAGAUAGAGAGUCACCGUGCGUCACAGCGGAGCUGGAGCAGAUCUAUCAAAUUCAAGAUGCGAGGGAAGGAACACUGAAGAUUCUGUUUGUGUUUAGAAUGGUGGGUUAAGGCUUGGGCUAUUUAUAGAGUUUUCCCUGCAGUAAUUGUGGUGGGGCAAAUAUCCCAGCCCACCACAUGAAGAGGUGGUGCCACCACAGGAUGAGAUGACCAACAUAGGUGGUAUGCCACAUCGUCAAUGCCAACCUAGAAUCUUAGAUCCGAAUUUUAUUUAUUUUUAGGGUUUCUUUUAAAUUAGUUUUCUUUUAUUGUGGAACCUAUAAAUAGAGUCAGCGGUGUAAUCGACUCUUUUGGUGAAUUUUGGAAUUUAAAACGUCAUUUUUCAGAGUUUACUUAGGUUUCCUCAGCCGCAGCCACCGCCACCAUCGUAACUGCCGCCGCCGCCGCCACUGAGAGGCGACCUUCCUCCCGCCCGUCCUCCUGACGAGUGCACGUCGCCUGGUUUCCGCAAACUCACCUGUCGUCCGCGGACAUUUUCUGCCACCGCGGACGUCUUCCGUGAUUCUAUUUGUAAAUCUUUUGUCGCAGCGCAGCAAGAGGGAUUUGAUAGCUAAACCCAAAUGAAAACGAAUGCUGCUUGGAGCCGAAAAAGCUAUAACUUUGAUUAUUAUCAGGAAGAAAAAUAAGUGGGUUUUAGCGUAGGUUUCCUGUUCUUCGACUUUCUUCAAGAUCAGGCUCUUCUCCUGAAAAGGACAGCGGUGGGAUGUCCACGUCGAGUUACAAGUCUUUUGGGCGGCGCCGACUUCGGUGAAUGCGUUGGAUUUGGAUUGUGAAGAGCUCUUCUCGACGUUGAAACCUACGCUCAAGCCCCUCCCGCGGUAUGGAGAAUUUACAUUUGACCACCAGAGCGUCAAGCCAUCAUACUCGGAUCAAUGGGGUCCAAAAAGGAGACAACACGUCGUCCGAUUCUUGUUCAGAUGUUUCAUUAUAAUGCUGGAGGAUGUGGAAGAAUCGGACUUAUCUUUAAACCUGACUUACGUUUACGCCCACACACGGACACAGACCUGUUUACACAGAACGAAUGUGCGGAGAACCUUUCGGUUGUUCGCCCGCGGUGUCUGAUGUUUAUAGGCAUGUGAAGAGAAGUUGAAAAAGUCUGAUUCAGACUCAGAACUUGCUUUGAAAUCGUUAUGCUCUUGAAGGAAAUCGAUCAUGGAUCUAAAAUAAUACUGAUAAUACGCUUCAAACAGAAAGAGAGAGGGAAGGGGGAGAGAGAGAGAAGUGCAGCAGAGGAUGAAUCUUUUAUCAAUACUGCACAUUCAUAGCUCCGUUUCUCUCAGUGAUCACUCUUCCGAUUACCAGGUCAUCGUGGGAUAUAAAUUUUGCCACACUUCUCACAGUUCUUUAAUUCCAGAACAAUAGACCAAGAAUUAAUUUCCAUGUAAUAGGUAUAUUAUGUGCAUUUAUUGCCCAUUGCUUGUUAUCCUUCAUUCAUCUGAACCUUGUGACAUUCUUUUAAAAGCUUAGCUAUUAAACUUUCACCAAGAUAGGAGAGUCGGAAACUUUCGGAGCUGUUCAAAUAGCCAAAGAAGCAGCGAAACCAUCUCCCGCGACGCCCACAGAUAAUAAAUCGCGGUUGGGUAUGACUUUCGUAUGUACCGCCAAAUCCCCGGCUUAUUUUCUAAAAACAAACCGGAUAUGCUACGGGCAUAAACCUCAAAUCAACCGCGCAGCCCUCCAGGUCAACCGCUCGCAACGGUAGAAGUGACUCUUUGAGGCAGUGGAUCAACAAGGGUUUCCACAAGAACCCUGUAAGCGAAUGCAACCACUCAAUGCGGAUAAUUGUCAAGUCCAGUCGCCAACAGGCAGGUCAAAUAACCCCAAUUCAACGAGGAGUUCUUCAAAGCGAAUGCCACAAUUCAAGGUGAAUCCCGAAUCCUAGUUCUUCAAACCGCUUCGGGGCAGAAACCUGGAAUACAGAAGUCCUGUUUCUCAUCGAAGCGAAUCUCGCUUUUGCGUAGACACAGAUGUACGUAGGACAAGGAAACAACAGAGAAAGGAUUCCAUAUCCGAUCUGGUGAAGUGGUUUACCGGCCUGUGCAAUGUCCCCCAUAUUAUUAAUGUCUUCAGGUUUUCUUACAGUUAAGAUACUUCCUUUGUUCAUAGUUAUCGUAUAAAAGCUAAUCCAGUCAGCGAUUGGAUUGGGUAAUCUUCUGUUAAGAACUAAUUUUUUAUUGCAUUAUCCUCUUAAGUUUGAUUUUCUUAAAAGGAUCUGAGUGGGAUAACAUAGGGUAAACGUGUCGUUCAACCGAUUACUGUGAUUUACUGAUGAAAAGAAACAGCAACGAGAACUAUGACUUCCCCAGUACUUCUACUCGUGCUUGUGACAUGACUGUCGGGCAUUGUAUUUGGUUAGUAUGUUCGCUAACAUUGUUAUACAUAUCAUCGACGUUGUUUUCUAUUUACUAUACUUCAUGUAGGUCAAGGAUUAGUGCCCUUUUUUAUGUUGUACUGCAAUGAAACGUUUUGUCACUACCGACGUCCUUAAAGAUCAAGCGAGGCCGUAAUCUGACAUUUCAAACAGGGUUUAGACAGAAAAUGUUAUGCACUCCAAGGUUUCACUUAAUUUCUUACUUUUUUUUAAGAGAAAAAUUUCAUUUUAAUUGAUAGAGAACUUGAUUUUCAUGAAAAAAACUCUUUUUCGUUAUAUACCAUAAUAUCAUUUAAAAGAGUGGGAGGAGAGAGAGGCAUUAAUUUAACAUAUGUCAGGGUGUGAACAAUGCAUAAAUACAUCUGGAUAUUAUAAUACAACAAAAUUUUGAAUUACAUGAUCUGUUUGCUGUCUUUGUAGCCCACUUCUUUUUCCUCACCUGCAUUCUUCUCUUCCCCUCUCAUGCUCUCCUCAUCUUUGCCCAUCUAGAUGUAUUGCUCCCUCUACCUACUUCAUCCGACUCUUUGUAUGCCCUCCAUUGCAUAAUAGUUUGUGAAAAUUACAUGUUAAUUGAUGAUCAUAUUUGUGACAUUCAUACAUAUUUUAUAUGUAUUUUAUAAGUUAUCAUCGUAAUUUAGUUAAUAUGUCAUUUGCAUGAAUUACCUUAAAUUUUAUUUAAAAUAAUAUUUUAUAAUUAAAAAACUCUUAGUCAGAGUCUAUUUCAUAAUAAAACAAUAUGACUCAUACAUAAAUAUUAUUUUUUUAUGUUCAUUCACAUUGUAUUAUUUAUUUUUGAAUUUUUUCUAUUUUUUCAUGAAUUUAUUUCAUUUAAAUUUAAUCAAUAGAAAGAAAAAAUUUGCUUAUCAAGCUUACUAUUUAGCGGGCCUCAAAUUGCAAGGCCAAUGGGUUCACUGCUAGACAACCUAGGACAGCAUGAAAUGAAGUCCAUGUACAUUGGGUGUAGUUCCUAGUACUGGGUUUGUGCCACAUAGCAUAGCUCCACGGCAUGGUGUCAACUAGGGACAAUACCUAGUCAGUACUAGGGGUCGGGGCACACUAAAUGCCUUAAUAUAUACAUAUCAAUUCUUAAAACAUUUUCGAUGUAGGACUAACACUUCUUACACUUCUUUUUGAUCCAACAACUGCGCCAGCUCGAUGCAAUGUGGUAGGAAGUGCCCAAGUGUCCACCAAUAACUAACCAUGGAGAAUCACGCCACUUAGUGUACAGACACACUAUUGUUGCUUGAACCUCAAGCCGCAAAAGUAGAACAAUUUGACACAAUGAGGAGUCAUGUAAGCAGCCAUUAUCGAUGUAUGCAGUAGCCGAGCAAGAGAUCUCAAUAAAAGACACAUGGUGUGGAGAAAUUGAGGUGGUUUGAUCCAAUGACAUAUGAGUGGCAACAUCAACUAUGCAGCAUUGUGGACUAACAACAUGUAGAUCUAAUGGUUUUCAGCAAGCCAUGCGACAAGGACACAUGCACAAAUAUUUGUUAUUCUCAAAUAAACUGGGUAUAUCGAUUAUCACAGUGCACAUAUGGCUGCACAUGGCUACAACUAUUGACUAUCAACAGUAAAAUAAAUGAUAUCAAUUAUUGACACGUGUGUAAAUUAGAAAAAUCUAAACAGAUCAAAAAGUCAGAAAAAUGUGGAUUGAAAAUAGCAAGUGAAAAUAGAAAACCUGCUUUGUAGAGCUAGAAAAACAAAAAGGAUGGAAGAGGGAGAGAGGAGUUUAUUUUGAUAUUUUAUCUAUUUUUGUGUUCUAGCCUUAGAGAGAUUCUUCCCAUUUUUCCUUUUAUUUUGAGGGAAAACCUGAUGUGAGGAUUUCUCUAUUUUCCUCGACAUCAAUGAGCCAAGAUCUAUUUUAUCAAACUAGAUGUAGGCUGAGGAUCAACCCUAACGUCAAGGACUAAAAGAUAGUAAGGGUUGUAAGCUUUUAUUAUUUUUAAUUUUCUUUCAUUUAUUUCUCUCAAAAUAUAAAUACUUUUCUCUUAUUUUAUAAAUUUGUUUACUUACACCAUUAUUUAUUUUGUGAAAACAUUUAUUUAUUUUUUAUCUAUUUUAUUUCGGACCCCUAUCCUUCUUUUUCCUUUUAUUCUUUUAAUCACCAUUCUCAUCGGUCUUUUAUCAUAAUAAUAUAGACAAUAGGGUAAAAUUUAGUUUUGAUAGAGGAUUAAAUCAUUUCCUGUGAUUCCUUCCUUGAGGAGACAACCGAAUUCACUACUACUACUAAUUUUAAUUUUUUUUCAGUUGUACCCCUUUGUCGUUGACCUGGUUCUGUAUACUGGGUUAAGACCUUGAACAUACACAGAAACAGGGAGAAAGAGGAUGACUUAAUAUCUUAUUUAUUAUAGCGACGAAGAACUCCAACUCAAAAGUUAAGGUGCGAACCGACCCCCAGUGAAAUGGACCAGACGACCACAGUGAAAUGCAAUCAAAGAAAAACAGUUGGAUGCCGAACGCAUCACUUGAAGACAGAGUAGAAGCCCUCUUAUAUUCUCAUUUAUUUAUAAAAGCUGCGUCGAAUUCUCAAAACUUAAAUCGUGUGACGAUGUCCACACUUUAAGGACUAGUAUCCGUUUGCUUGAUGCUCUGGUAGGGGAAGCCGUUCGUGCAUUCCACGCUGCUCCUGAGAACGGCGUCGGGAUUUCCAUUGCAUCCACGGUUACCCCUGUAGAGGUAGGCGGGCCAGCCAUCGUUGUAGUAGAAACGGUAGCUUCCGGUGUAGGUGACGUUGCAGCACUGGCGAUCCCAGCAAGGCGUCCACUGUCCGGUGCAGCCGGGGCCUUCGUACAUGUUCAACUGGCUGGCCUCCGCUGGUGAGGCAUAGAAAACAAGCAGCAUAGCCAUGGCGGCUGUGGUGGCGACGAGAAGGUGGCCGGUGAGGGCCAUUGCGGUACGUGAAGAAGAGGUGGAUUCAAGAUGCGAGGGAAGGAAUACUGAAGAUUCUGUUUGUGUUUGGAAUGGUGGGUUGAGGCUUGGGCUAUUUAUAGAGUUUUCCCUGCAGUAAUCGUCUCGACACAGUCUCAGAAUUCCGUGCGGUUUUCGUCGAGCUCUCAGUUGUUGACCAGCAGCGCGACGUUCAAACUAUAUUCUUAGUCGGACUGCGUUCAUGCACGCAUUGAAGAAUCCCAUCUUCCGUAAUACUCGUCUGGAAUCUUGGACUUUGAAGGCUACGUGGCAACUUGACUAUUAUGUUCAUAUCGCACCCAGUUUUUUACGGCAAAUUGAUAGGAGUGACAAACAAGGAAUGUCCUAUUUGAUGGGUAUUGCAAUUGGAGAGUGGCCAUCUCAAGGAGACCUUGAAAUGGACAAAGAAGUCGGCAAAAUAUCUUCUUGGACACCUGCCGCGAAUGAAGAUGAGACGACCCUUGGGGUUUAUUUUUAAAUCCUACGACCGUAUGGCUGGCUUAGAAAACUUCAUGUGAAACGAAACCAGGAAUACUGCAAGAAUAAAUGUCAGGUCCACCUCGCCACCGAGAAGGUCAGAUAAUCCAAACUCAAGCUGGAGGUCUUCAAAUCCAAUUCACCCACACCAGCCUACUCUGGAAGCCAGUUUCCACGUGGGCCUUGUAAUCAAGAGUUGCGAAAUGAAGGAAUCCCACUCAGACCAUAAUUGAGGCGGAGAGGAACAAUAUGAUAAGUCUAAACAUACCAAGAGCCCCUUCCCCCCUUCCGUACCACCACAGCAAACUCUUUCUUUCCAUUACCAGUACUUUACGUUCCACAUGGUUGCCAACCUCAAGUUCCUUUUUGUCACCGCGGCCGUCGUGGUUCUACUGCUGGCUCUCCGCAGUUCCCCAGCGGAGGCCAGCCAGCUGAACAUGUACGAAGGCCGCGAACUCACCGGCCGGUGGACGCCUUGCUGGGAUCGCCAGUGAUGAAUGUCACCUACACCGGAAGCCAUCGCAUCUACUUCGACGGCUGGCCCGCCUACCUCUACAGGCGUAACCGUGCAUGCAAUGGAAACCCCGAGGCCGUUCUCAGGGCAGCCUGGAAUGCAGAACGCCUUCCCCUACCAGAGCAUCAAGCAAACGGACACCGCUCGUUAACGCCUGAACGCCGUCACACGAUUCUAGUUUUGAGAAUUUGACGCAGCUUUGAUAAAUAAAUAGAGAACACGAGAUGGCUUGUACUCUGUCCUCACGUGAAGACUGGGCUUCCUUCCCACAUCCCUCAAAUAUAAUAGCCUUUUGAAACAUGAGUUCAAAGGCCACUUUCUUUCCCUCUGUAUUUAUCUUUAUUCCCCUAUAGAGUUACUCAACAAUUAUUGUAUUCUCGUGUAAGAUCAUUAUGCUAGAAGAAACCUUUAUCAAUUUUUAAGUCAGUCAUUAUUUUAAUCCAGAUUAGAUCUUAUCUAUCUUUGAUCCCGUCAAGUUAAUUUUUAGCAUUCACUGCUGUCAAGAAAUGGUUAUAUAAGAUUUAAUUCUAGGUUCUUUGUGGAAAUGAAAUCCCGUAAAAUCCAUAAAAGUACCUGCAGUAUUUAAUUUAGGCUAAAUUUGUAAACAAAAAUCAAUAAUGGAAGAUGUAUACAGAGUUUAGUCAAUAGUGAAGGUUAAAGGACGGUGUAAUCUUCGGUACUUUCAUAAUCUCUUAACCAUCGUGUUUUCGGUUCCUCAUAACUGGAGAAAGUGCAGAAAUGGGCUUCAACGUCAAAUUUAAAAAGACGGCAACAACACGUGAGAUUAGCAACUCGGAUGAUCAUAAAGGGAGAACCCAGUCAGUCCAUUGAAAAAUACCAUUCGAUAAAAAACACAAAUAUUAUAACGCCUUCCCAACCAUUAGUCUUUGUUCCGCACUUCUGACAGCUUAUCAGGACGGAUAUAAAAAUUAAAAACAGAUUUGGAAAAAAUAGUGCGAAAUGGUUUGUCAUUAGCAGAUAAUCUAGUGAUCAAUGCGUGCAAACCUGCGAUGUCUUGUGAAAAUCAAACAAGUUACUUCGGAAAUGAAACAAGAUGGUAACAAUGACGACCGUAGGUUUCAACUCCAACUGCUUGUUGUUCUGCAUUCAUUAAUUUGAAUGGAGCCUGACAAUGUACUUUGCUAGUUUCGAAUGGUCGCAUAUGCAUUAAUAUGCUUGAUGACGUAGCCUAAAUAACAGCACCAUGUUCAUAUAGAAAAGUUUUACGUAAUCCCUAUUAUGAUCUGAAUGUACGGCGUCGAGUUUUCACAAAGUUAUAAACGUGUAUGACGGAAUAUUUUUUCGGACAGCGAAUGGAUAUAUGAAUAGAUUCAUAAUUUCUGUUAAGAAUGAAAAAUUAACCAAACGUUUGAUCUAUGAUUUCCAUGUGAAGCAGACCUCUUGAUAUUCAUGACAGAGAUGACAACGGAAUUUGAUGGCUCUUUAAAGUUGGAAAGAAGUUCGAUUUUGCUUGUUUGGGUCAAUCGUAAGACAUAGGGCUAAGGAAAAUAAAUGUUUGCAGUUUCUCAAUGUGUCCCAAAUAUCUAGGUUGUGUUACCGAUUGAAGAAAUUUAAAAUUCAAACAUUUACAUUACUCUGGUAUGUUGAGAGGAUCUGAAGAAAAUCAAAAGCCAUGUAGAUAUCUUAGGAAAGAGGGCUCUAAAAUAAGGAAAUGUGAAAUGCAGGUUUAGAAUAAUACAAGGACAGCUAAAAGUCUCUAAACGAGAAACGAAUAGACCUAAUUAAGCGUCAAGGAAGGAACUGAUCUAUAUCACUUCAAUAAAAGGUGCCGUAUGGAAGUUGUCCGGUGUGGAGAGGAUCUGUAGCAAUAAUAAAUUAAAUACAAGAAACUUCAGGAAUGUUAGAGGCCUUGCAUGUGCUGAGUAGUGGAUAAUCUUCACACAUUCAUGCUUUCAAAUGCAUAUGUUUACUUAGAAAUAACAUAGGACCAUUUCAGAUCACUCAUUUAAAAAGAAUUUCAAGAUAGAUAUUUGAUAAUCACCUCAUUAGUUUAAGUAUCUUUGUGUUGCCAUGUUUGUAUCUUUAAGAUAAAUAUCUAGCAAAUAUACAAAUAUAUCCACACCUAUAUCUAGGAUAAAUUAUCAUCUAGGAAUAAAGGUUUUUGUUUAAAUUUUAACAUAUCAACCAUCUAUGACACUAUAUACAAGUUCAGAUGACAUAGCAUGUCAUGAGAAGUGUGGACAGCCAUGGACAUCUUAAAAAUAGAGUAUUUUAUUAAGCCCAACAUUUGAGGAUGCAUAAGUGCCCAGUAAUAGUUGAGCAAUCAUAGAUUAUGCCCAAUGAAUGAUAAUAAUGUAAUAUUUCUUUGUAUAUAUGAUACAAACAUGGAAAACAAAGUAGAUGAACUUAGGUCUCACAAAGUCUAAAUGCAAAUAUGAUAAUGGCUCUAGACAUCAUAUGAGACCAGUAAAUGUAAUAUAUCACUUUAGCUAAUGGAGUAUAUAACAAUAGAUAUUGUCCUAUGCUAGUGAGUAAAAUGUGCAUACACAAAUAUAGUUCUUGUAUAUCAUUAAUUAACACAUGUCAAGGCGUGAACAAUACAUAAAUACAUCUAAAUACUAUAGAAUAUAAAAUUUUAAAUGAGAUGAUAUGUGUGCUGUCUUUGUAGCCCUCCUCUUUUUCCUCACUUUCACUCUUCUCUUCCCCCUCAUGCUCUCCUCAUCUUUGCCCAUCCUGAUGUAUCAUUCCCUCUACUUGCUUCAUUUAACACUUUGUAUGCCCUUGCUUGUAUGAUAACUUGUGAAAAUUGCAUAUAAUUAAUGAUCAUAUUUGUGAGAUGAAUACAUAUUUUAUAUGUAUUUCAAAAGUUAUCAUGAUAAUUUAGUUAAUAUGUCAUUAGCAUGAAUUACCCUAGAUUUUGAUAUAAAAUGAAAUUUUAUAAUUAAAAAAAUCUUAAUGAGAGUCAAUUUUAUAAUGAAAUAAUAUUUUUCAUGCAUAUAUCUUAUUGUCUAUUGUCACGUGUGAAAAUAAGAAAAAUUUUAAAAAAUGUCCAACUCAGAAAAAUGUGGAUUGAAAAUAGCAAGUCAAAAUAGGAAACAUGGUUUUUAGAUCUAGGAAAAAAAAAGGAUGGAAGAGGGGGCGUUCUUUUUUAUAGUUUGUUUUUUUUCGUGUUCAAGGCUUAGAGAGAUUCUUCUCAUUUUUCCUUUUAUUCUGAUAGAAAACCUAAUGUAUGAGAGGAUUUCUCUCUUUUCCUCAACAUCAAUUACCCAAGAUCUAUUUUUUCAAACUAGAUGUAGGUUGAGAAUCAACCCUAAGGUCGAGAAGGAUUCAAAGAUACUAAGGGUUGUAAGCCUUUAUUAUUUUUAAUUUACUUUCAUUUAUUUUUAUCAAAAUAUAAAUAUUUUCCUCCUCCUUCCCAAAUUUAUUUACUUACUACAUUAUUUAUUUUGUGAAAAAUUUUAUUUAUCUUUAACCUAAUUUCAUUUAGACUCGUUUUACUUGGCUUUCCUUUUAUUUAGUUUUAAUCAUCAUUCUCAUCAGUAUUUUAUCACAUUAAUAUAGAUAAUAUGGAAAAUUUUAUUUUCGAUAGAGGAUUAAAUCCUUUCCUUUGAUUCCUUCCCUAAGGAGACGACCUGAUUCACUAUUAAUACUAAUUUUAGUUUUUUUCGCUGAACUUAGUUCUAUAAAUAUUUAUAAUUAAUUAGUGAUCUUCAUGAUGACAAUUCCUUUCAUAAUUUCAUCAUGAAAGAAUAUAGAAAUGACUUUUUACACUGGUUAUAAUAUAUUUUCAUAUUUUCAUAAAUAUAUUUCUCUUUGCAUUUCUCUCUCUUCUCUCUAAAUCCUUUCCUAUGGGACAGGCAUGAAAAUAUUCACACCUCUUUCUCAAUAUUCACAUCUCUUCUCCGUUCUACAUUAUUUGCUGAUAAUAUGGCAUGCCUACUCCCACUUUGAUAAGUAUCCCACAUCGGUCUAUGUAGGCACUCAUGGAACAUUCCAUACCAAACUUAUGCCUUGCUGAUAAUUCUAAAUAAUUUCCUGAAAAUAUCCCUAUUGCUUAAGUGAUUUAUAAUUAAUUUAAAUUAAAAGACUUUCAAAUUACUUGAAUUUAUUAAAAUUAGGUUGUGAACUAAUAUAUGAUUUUAACAUUAAUUGCUCCAAGCUACAUACUGAAAUUAAUCAUGAAAUAUGAUCAGAUAUUUUCUCAAUUUUUAAAAGUAUUUUUAGAAUAUUUUUAAAUUAAUUUUUGUUUUAUUAAACUAUUAAGGAGAUUCUAGAAAUAUGGAAUUCAGAUAAAUUGAUAAAAAUCCCAACAAGUAAGAAAAAGUCGUGUUGGAAGAUCAAUUUAUCAGAUUUAAGGACAAAUCUCAUCGAUGACCCCACUGGCCAUCUCUUCUUUAAACUUUAAUGACUAUUUUAUUUUUUUAUCGAUAAAAAGCUUCAAUCAAUCAUCUAUUGUGUUAUUAACAAAAAGACUUUUGAUAGUAAAUUUUUGAUUUGGAUGAUUUCAGAUUCGAUUUUGUACACUCAGACCAACAUAUUUCGGUCAAUUUUAAAUUUGGGCCUUUUCUUUGUAGCUAGGCAUCAACUAACGUCAUCAACCCUAUAUUCAUAUCUUUUUAUAUUUUGCUUACUUUUGCAUGAUAAUAGUUUCUAAAAUAUUAAUCUAUCAACUUAUAACUGUAGAUAAUUAAAUAAUUUUCGUCUUUCCUCUAUAAACCGAGUAUCAGAUUACUUAUUCCUCAAAUUAGUUUGUUUUCUAGAGCUUAUAAAGUUUAAGUUUUUAAAAUUUUUGUAGCAACAAUAGAAAAUAGUCAGACACUCGACAAGCAAGUGGGCCAACUCCACUAAAUAAGGCAAGAUUUCACCUUAUAACUCAUGUUGUAGAAGGCUAUUACAUUUGAGGGAUGUGGGAAGGGAGACAUUCUUCUCAUGAGAACACGAUACAAGCCAUCUCGUCUUCUCUAUUUAUUUAUCAAAGCUGCGUCGAAUUCCCAAUACUAAAAUCUUGAGAUGGUGUUCACGCUUUAAGGAGCAGUAUCCGUUUGCUUGAUGCUCUGGUAGGGGAACCCGUUCGUGCAUUCAACGCUGCUCCUGAGAACGGCGUCGGGGUUUCCAUUGCAUGCACGGUUACCCCUGUAGAGGUAGGCGGGCCAGCCAUCGUUGUAGUAGAAACGGUAGCUUCCGGUGUAGGUGACGUUGCAGCAUUGGCGAUCCCAGCAAGGCGUCCACCGCCCGGUGCAGCCGGGGCCUUCGUACAUGUUCAGCUGGCUGGCCUCCGCUGGCGAGGCAUAGAAAACAAGCAGCACAGCCACGGCGGCUGCAGUGGCGACGAGGAGGUGGCGGGUGGGGUUCAUUGGAGUACCUGAAGGACCGGUGGAUUCAAUAGUAAAGGGAAGGCUGAAGAUUCUGUUC
rnacentral:lncRNA from 1 species